rnacentral:lncRNA from 1 species
UAAGAAAAACAUAAAACUCAAACCCGUUAAAUCAUAUUUAUGUAAAAUAUAAACCUUGAAUGUUUUUUUUCAAAAAAAAAACAACCAUAUUGUGUUAAUGUUCCAUGUGAGAUUGAUUUUUUCUUUAUUCCUUUCUUUGAUUAUGAUACCUUGUCUCACUAAUAUGAUAUUUUUUAAGUUCUUUGAUAAUAUAGCAAACUACUAUGAUAUUUUUUAAAUAAUUUUUUGACCAGUUAAUUAGUUUUCAAUCUUAAAUACAUUACAUAUAUAAUGGAUAUUUACAAAAUUAUGGGCAAAUUCGUUCUAUGUAACGACGUCGUCUCUACCUUUUGGUUCGGGUAGUUAGUUCAUUGGCUUAUGGAGAUACAUGUUUGGUUAAGGUUAGUAAGUUUUAAAUUUUACUCUGUUUUUAACCAGAUGAUGAUUAAUCUUUUACAUAAAAGAAAGCUGAGAGUAUGAAGAGGAAUGUGGGGAAGAUGAUAAAAAAAGAAGGAAGAAUAAGAGUAUGACGAAGAAGCAGCCAUAAAGUUUUCACAUCAUUGUUGUUUUCUAAAGUAAUUGAUGAAGGUAUACCCCAUGUAAGAGUUGGCCGUUGUUGGAGUUACACUAGGGCAACCAUUAUCUUCUGUAUAAGUGCUUCUAUGGUCCUCUAUCCCUGGAUUUGCCUCCCAAGAUAUGCUCUCAGUUUCAUCAGGCUCAUACACCAAAGAGAAGCCACACUUUAUCACCUUGCAUGUUGAGACCUCGCUUGUACCAUUUGUCACUUGAAAUCUAAGUGAAACUUCAGUUGCUGAUGGAAACUGUUGAUUUUUCUUGAUAUUAUAAAAACUUGUGUAGCCAAUGAAGAUAUGGUCUGCCUCGAACGUAUGUGGCUCAUCCUCUGGUUUGGACCAACCACCAACAACGAAACUUUCCGGGCUCAUGGAUAAAUUAGUGAACUCACAGCUGCACGUAACUUGAAGACUAUUUUUUUGCUCUCUGUACUCCUUAAACGAGAUUACAGUACAUACAGCUAUCCCCACAUUUCUACCUGCAUUGCAAUCUUGAGGAAGCUCCAGUGUCAAGACUGAUCCUAAUGCUUGGUGGUCAAACCAUGCAGGUAAUUCACAUCCCGGAAAGCAAGCACCAAUCAAGGAUUUGAAAACAAAAUCCUGAAAAAAUUAAAGUAAUGCCAAAGGAACAUCAUUAGAUACGGAUGUUUGAGGAUAGAUAAUAAGGAACUUGAGAACACAAAGAAUUAAUAUAUACCUGAUUAUAUCGGUCAGCUGAUAUCAACUCGCUUUUCUUCUGAAUGUAAGAUAUGAUUGCGUUCUUUGAGUCUUGUUCCAUUUCGUGGCAGUUAGUGAAAAUGAAAGUGGAAUGAAUCUGCUCAUUCGGCAUAGGAAGAGCUAGUGGACUAGCGACUGUUCUUAGCGAAGUACAACCGUGUGCAUUUAAACAGUGAAGAUUCGGUGGAAGUAAGGGAAGAGAUGUGAGAUUCUUACAAUACUUUAACUCAAGCCACUUCAGAUGGAACAUUUGACUCAUAUCAAAUUUAAGGGUGCGGAUAUUAUCAUUCCUGCUUAAGCAUAGACGUCGCAACAAAUAUAGAUCAAAAAUACUGCUUGGCAUCUCUGCUAUUGAUGUUCCAUCAAGCAGUAAAACCCGCAAACUCUCCAUUUUAGCCUUGACAUCAGGAAAACUUGUGAGCUCUAAACAGCGAGAGAGUUUGAGUUCUUGAAGAGAUUUAAGCUCCCCAAGACUAUCAGGAAGUGUAGCAAGAUUUUUGCAAUCUUUUAAAUUCAACAAGAUAAGACUAUGGAGAUUACUAAUGGCUGAAGGAAGUCCAUUUAUGGAUGUGCCGUUUAAGUACAAAGUUUCUAAAUGUUCGGAGAUCACCUCAAAUGUCUGGAAGUUUGAGCAGCCGCUGAGAAUAAGAGUCUUUAGGGAAUCCAUAGUGAUCUUUGGUAAAGACAAGAGGCUUGUGCAUCCUCUUAAGUUCAGGAUAACAAGAUUCGUCAAAUCUUUCAUCUCGUCAGGUAACUCCUUUAAACUAGUGCAUCCUUCAAGGUUCAAUCUCAGAAGAUUUGGUGCGUUUAAUAAACCCGACAAGGAGUUCAAGUUACUCGAGUAGCUGAGAUCAACCCAUUUCAGGUUAGGUGCACCCUGUGACAACCAGAAAGAAUUGAACACCAUAAGUCCCAUACACGAUGUAUAUAUACAAGCCCAAUUAGUUUAAAUUGACUGGAAAAUACAAACCUUAGAACAGCUCCAUACAGUGGUAAUAUUACUGUAAGGUAAACUAAGAUCGAUGAGACAUGCGGGUUCAAAGUCUGAUGGAAGUUCUUUCCCCGGGAAUUUCACCCAAUGAAGACAUCUCACAGUAUUAUCUUUUGGAAACUCAAGUCCAUCAGGUAAGUUUAACUUGCACUCAGUUUCAGAGUGUGUAGGACAAAGAGAAUUGUACACCUUUACGUACCGGAGACAGCUCAUACCAACAAGAGCAUUUUUCUUCAAGGGCAUUUCCUCCAUGUUUGACAUGUCUAUGAUGAUUCCUCUAACCUUGUCUUUUCCGUCCUGAUCAAGUAAGAAGUAUUAAAUUUCAUAUAUGUAUAUAUAAGUCUGCGUUUGUAUAAAUUUAAAUUAUUUUUAUCUCACCUUUUUGAGUCCCAACGCAUUAGUAAUUUCUGCACAACUCGACAGCAACAGUCUUGAUUUCUCUGCAGUAGCUUCAACAAUCUCCUUAGCCAUGGUAAACAAUAGAUUAUGCAUCUCAACUCGGCCAUCACACACGCCAAUCAAGAAUUUGUGUGAAAGAUCUCUAAAUUCCUGUCCUAAUUCCGCGGAUUCUAAGUCAUAAGAAUCAAGUAAGCUUCUAACGUAACUCUCAUCUUGUGAUCUAAAGAAAUAAGCUAUAUCAAGAAACGCAUUCUUCUGCUGCUCGUUUAGUUCAUCGUAACAGAUUCCUAACUUCUCUCUAAUCUUUGGAUUGGAACACUGCGCCAAAGUUCCAAGUCUUGUUUCCCAGUGAACCUCGUCUUUCCCGGAAAGCUCUUUACCAAAUUCCUCGAGAGCUAAUGGGUUUCCACCUGCAUAAUUCACAAACUUUCUAGACAGCUCCAUGAAAUUUUCUUCUUGAGUACAACAGACUUGAUCCCUAAAGAUCUUUAAGCCGUCUCUCUCAUUCAACCCAGGGACUUCAAAAAGAUCAUAGAUUAGUCCCUCGAUCAAUGACUUGUCCGAUGUAGUGAUGACUAUCCUGCUCCCCUUAUUAAUCCAGUCGCAAAUUCCCACAAGCUCGAUCUGUUUCUUGUCACUCACGUUAUCUAACACAAUUGCGACUUUCUUGUCCAUUAAGCUAUCUUUCAAGGCCUCAGGUGCAUUUGUAUCAGUGCAAUUUUGAAUAUCAUCAAGUAAACCUUCCACAAGUUUCUUCUGUAGCCACUCUGAUCCUUGCUGCUGUGUCUUCUCACGGUCGAACUCGAUCAACACACAAUGGCUGAUCUUCUUCUCAAGCUUGUCGAAGAGUUUCUUGGCCAGAUAGGUUUUGCCGAUUCCAGGCAUCCCGACGAUUCCAACAAUACGAGUUUCUUUAUCAUUGCACUCCACAUCUAACUUUACUUCCAAUUGCUUAAGGCGUUGAUCCUCUGAUUCAUUAUUGUUUGCAAUCGGUGCUCUGUUAAGACACCUUUGGGGCCUAGGGUUUCCUCCUCCUCCUCCCCCUACCUUAAGUUGGGUUAGGGCAUUUCUAACAUGUUGGACGAUCGUAGUCAAGAAAUCGUCUUCCUCACUGCAAGACAAAAAGAAUAAAAUUAACUAUAUGUGAUUAUUUUUAAAAAUUAAUUAUAAUCUGCGAUUUCUUAUCUUUAAGUUUAAAUGAAAAUUUUCUAAGCCUUUUAUGAUAUGAAUUUUUUCUAAUUUUUCCACUAGAUGGGAUUUGAAAUUUUUUGAUAAUAAAUCUUAACAAUUUCUCAAUAUUCACAUAAUUUCAAUUUAAUUAUUUUAUUUAAAAUAGAAAAUUGAAGGUCGAAUACACCCUUUUAGUGUAUAAUACUUGCAAAUAAUUUUUUUUUCCUGUAAAAGAUCUUCUAGUUAAUUAUUGGGAGAAUUUAAAACAUACUCUUUUUCAAAUAUCAGUUUUAAAAAAUACCCCAUUUCAAACUUUAUCCAAAAAACCACUAAAAAUGUUCAAAUUUAUCCAAAUAUGUGUGUAAACUUAUAAAUAUACACACAAAUUACCUUUAUAUAUGUAUAAAAUUUUAUAUAUCUUUCAUAAAUAGCGUAAAAAUUAACUUUAAAAAACCUUUUAAGAACCUUAUAAAAUCUUUUAAAAAACAUUUUAAAACCUAAUAAAACUUGUAAAAACGAUUUAAAACCUUUUAAAAAUUAUAAAAUAUUUGUAUCCAAUCUCCAAGUAAUAGUUAUUAUAUAGAAGUAAUUUAUAAACAAUAUAAAACUUUAUAUUUUUUCAUAUUUAAACAGAGAUAUUUUUGAAAAUGAAUAAAUAAAGACGGUAUUUUUGAAAAGGAAUACACCAAAAGUGGUAUUUCUCAAAAUUCUCUUAAAUAUUUCUUCUAACACAGAAUAUUUCCUUCUAACAUGGAAUAUUUUCUAUCUACUUCUUAAAAUUAUAAUAUUUCAUAAUUAAAAUUAUGUUAGGACACCAAUCCAAAUUUAUGCGAUGGUGAUGAGAGCAUAACCGAAGUAAACCGGAGUCAGUUAAGAUAGGGUUAAAAAGAAUGAGAAUAUAAUAAGUGAUCUUAUUAUUGUUAGUAGUUUGAGUAGAUUAUGUAAAAUCUUUGAUUCAUGUAUAUCUCCUAUAUUCUAGGUUCUAGAUAGCUCAUCCUUAAUUUGUAUAAAUACUCAUAACAUCUUAUGAUAAAAUAUAUGGAAAAUGUUUAAAGCCUAUUGUUUUUAUAAGCUUUUGAUUGGGACCUAUCAGAUGGAGAUGGUAAGUGUUUUCAACAAUGGGCAUGCUCUAGCUAGUAUCUCUCCUAAGAAUAAUUCUACGUCGAACUAGCGUACUCGUUCAUUUUGAUUCUACCUAUGAAAAGUCGAAAGUAACAUCAAAACUAAUCCAUACCCGGUUGCUGGCAAUACCAAGGCCUUUCUGGUGAGAACAUCCUUCAAAGCCUCACUCCAUUUAAAAAUACGGUUGUCUCGAUCACGACCGCGACUGGGCAACCUCCAGAGAUUCCACAUAUGUAGACCAAAGUCUCCUUUAAGCUCUGCCACCGUGGAUAUCUCCAGCUUGUAGAAGAUUGGAAUGACCAAUAAAUUGUUCAUACUACAUUCCAUCAUCUUAACUAGCUCCUGCAAACACCAAUGUGACUCCGUGUACCUACUCGAUAAAACCGCCAGCGCGAUCUUCGAAUCCUCAAUCCUUUGGAAAAGGUUUUGGAGUUUUUGGCCAGCGUGUUCAUCAGAGUCUAUAAAAGCGUUGAUCCCAUUGCGGCGCAAUCUUGUAUAGAGAUGGGAGAUAAAGGUAGUACGCAGCUCAGCUCCUCGGAAAUUGAUAAACACAUCUGCUUUGACGUCAGAAGAGUCAAAAGAUGUCGCCAUCGUGAUUUUGUUUUUGCUUUUGGAAAAUUUUUUUGUUAGAUUGAAUUUUAUACGACUGAUUUGCAACACAUCAUAUAAUGAGACGUCGUAUAUAUAUUCCUAGUCAAUUUGAUCGACCACGUUCUUUCCUCAAGACUACAAACUAUAGUAUAUAAUUUAUUUGUUUUGCUAAGACUAUAGUAUAUAAUUUAUCCUUGGAGACAAGUUCUUACAUUGUUAAUAAUUUAUUUAUGACGACAAAUUCUAACACAAGAACUUUAUUAGACUAUAUACACACUUGUCUAUCUUUUUAAAACUUCAGCUUGAAAUCGUUAAACAAAAUGUCAAGAGUUGUUGAAAUUAUAUGUUAAGUGGCAACGUGCCGAGUCGGAAGAAUUACAGGAACAAGUCGGAAGAAUUACAUGUGUAUAAAUUUAACACAAGAACUUAUUACAAGAUAAGUUAACACAAGAACUUUAUUAGACUACAUGUCUAUUUGACUUGCUAUUAUCUUUUUAAAACGUCAGCUUGAGAUUCGUUGAAAUUAUAUGUUAAGUGGCAACGUGACGAGUCGGAAGAAUUACAGGAACAAGUCGACCAUCUACAUAUCCUCUUAUCCUCUUAUUAAAAGAGAAGUAUACAUUUAACAUUUCAAAAUUAUGGCCAAAAUUUCCCUAAUUACCUAUCAAUUAUUGGGAAACUUCCAUAAAAAUUUCCCAUCUCAUUUUAAUUUAGAAGUUUAAUACCCAAUAUUAUUUGGUUGGAAAUAAAAUGCAUGGUUUAUUAAAUUUUGGGCUAUAAAUACAUUAAGUAUAUAAAAAUUGUCGAAUCGAAUAAACCGCUUAAUCGGAUUGACGGAAUCACUAAACCGAGGUUGACGAAAUCACUAAUCCCUAAACACACGGGUAAUUUGAGGUUAUCCAAAGACUGCAUUGUCCUUUGCUAUCCCCAAAUCAAAUUGGGAUCGAUAAACCCUAAGUUUAGUAUAAUUCUAUUAACUCCGGUUUAGUGAUUUUGUCAUUUUGAUUAUCGUUUGUUAAGCGGUUUCUUCGAUUCGACAAUUUUUAUAUACUUGAUGUAUUAAUAGACAACAUAUUAAUAAACCAUGCAUUUUAUUUCCAACCAAAUAACAUUGGGUAUUAAACUUCCAAAUUAAAAUUAGACGGAAAAUUUUUAUGGAAUUUUUCUAUCAAUUAUUGAGAAAAGAGAAGUUUUAUUGAAAUUAGGAAGGGUAAUUUAAGUAAGUGUCUCAAUUAAAAUCAAAAUUUUGAUUCAAUUGAAAAUUGACCCGCACGUCACCCGUUUUUAAAAAACGGAUCCUCACGUCUCACGUUCGAUCAGUGACAAAAACAAAAAGAUUAAGAUUAUUGGUGGGCUUUAAAUUGAUGUGUUUGGUGUUUGAGCUUUAAAAUAUUAAGAGAGGAGGAGAGAAGAAAAGUAUGUGUUUGGACUUUGGUGUGGUCGCUCAUUAAACUCCACAAUGACUUUUUUUUGUGUGUGUUUAGAGGUGUUUAAUAAUAAUAAUAAUAUUAAUAAUAAUAAGUUAGUUUCGUAUUUUAUUGUUUUACCUUUCAAUUAUAACAUAAAUAAAUAAUUUUAAAAUUUGCUAUUAAAUUAAAUUAUAAGUAUUAUGAUACAUAAAUUAAAAUUUUCUCCAAAAUAAUUUUUCAAUUAUUAAAUAACAAGUAUUAUGAUAUAUAAUUUAUAAAUAACUUAGAAAUAAUUAUAAGUGUUGAAAUAAUAUUCAUAAUUUUUUUUAUACAAUUAAAAAGGUUUAAAUGGUUUUUUCUGUUUGAAAAAAACCUAAAAGCACAUUUUUAUAAUAAAUUAGUAUUUCGGAUAAACCAACAUAUCAUACCCUUCACUAAUAUAAAAAUUGUAAAAUACAAACAUUAUUCUACAGUGUACUGCAGGUUCAAACCUAGAUCAUAUAUAUUAGAACAGGUUAAAGAAUCCUUAUUUUUGUAUAAAUUAUAAAAAAAUGUUGAACUAAUGAAAAUGUGAUCUAAACCAAAUAUAAGUUUUUAAUCUACGUUGUAUCACGGGCUAAAUAAUUUAUAUUUUCUCCUUACAUUUUAGGUGGAAUUUCAAAAAUAUCUUUUUUCCAAUACCACUUUUUAAAAAGGGAAUUUUGUUUAGAAUGCCAGUUUGGAAACUCAAUUUUCUAAAACUGCCAUUAACAAAAACUUCUUUCAAAUCAUGCCACAAAAAGAGUUACAAUUACGAUUUUGCCCUUGGCAUUGGAGAGUGGAAUUUUGCUUUUUCUGUUGGCAGCAAUAACCAUUAAUUGAUGGGUUAUAGCCUAAUAUCCUGUGGAUAAUGGACCAUAUCAAAAAUAACGGACGAGUAAGUAAUAUAUGAUGGACAAAAUAUAUGUGGUCCAUCGAAAACUCACUUUGACAGAAUUCAAGAGACAAUUCUGAUGCGUGUCCUCUAACUCCGAUGCAUGUCCACUGUGGACGUUCUAUAGAAUGACACAAAUAACUUUUGAUUUAUUUAUGGGCACAAUGUAAACCAGAUCUGUACAAAUUGGUGGGUGCUAAUGAAGGACAAAUAGAGAGAUUUUGUGGAAGUUGUGGGUGGCGAAGAAGCAGAGACAAAAAAACGAUAGACAAAAAAAAAAAAAUCUCGUCCACAAAAUCUAGUCCAUUACAUCUGAUCUGCCGAAUCUUGUCCAUCUACAGAAAAAUGUAUUGUCCAUCGCCGAAAAAUAUAUCUGGUCUAUGGUCUGCCAGUAACUGACUAUGGUCCGCCUGAACUCGUCCGCUAGAUCUGGUCUAUCGGUACUCGUCUUCCUGAUUUGUCGAAACUGGUCCGUCGAAUCUGGUUUGCUUGAACUGGUUAUAGUUCAUCAGAACCGACUGUGGUCUGCCAUAACUCGUCCGCUGGAGUUAUGGUUGGUCGGAACUGGUACGUCGAAUCUGGUCUGCCGAAUCUGGACCAGAAUUGCUAUGGUCCGCUGGAUCUGGUCUGUCGAAACUGGUCCGUCGGAUCUGGUCUGUCGAAUCUGGUCUGUCGAAUCUGGUAUGUCGAAUCUGGUCUGUCGGAGUUCGUCCGCCGGAUUUGGUCCGCCGGAGUUUGUCCGUUGGAAGAAGAAAAAGAAGAUGAAAAAGAGAAAGAGAUAAUGAAAAAAAAAAUUGAUCAGUCAUAAGAGAGAGCAGCCCAUUUCAUCCAGGGAUAUGUUGAUCUUUUUACAUACCUCUUGUGGCAGGCGGGAGAAGGGAUUUAUAGAAAUGGCAUUUCAUAAGAGUUUGGUCACUGUACAUGGCAGUAUUAAUAUUUUUCUCUUUUAAAAAUACCCCUCUUUCUAGUUUUAUCAAAAAAAAUCACUAUAAAUUUUGAAAUUUAUCAAAAACUAUGUGAAAGCUUAUAUUUAAAGACACAAAUUAUCUUUAUAUGUGUGUAAAUUUACAUAUAUAUUUCAUAAAUACCGUAUAAAUAUCUUUUAAAAAUAAUUUAAAAACCCUAGAAAAACCUUAUAAAAACCAUGUAAACCUUUUAAAAACCUUAUAAAAACCUUAUAAAUGUUGUUUAUUACUUUUUAAAACCUUAUAAAUAUUUGGAUUUAGUCUCGCAGUAGUAAUGAUGAUCUUGAUGUACCUUAGAAACCAUAUAAAAGUUUAUAUUUUUUAUAUUUGAAAAAGGGUAUUUUUAAAAAUAAAUGGAAAAGGGGUAUUUUUAAAAAGGGGUAGACCAAAAGGGACAUUUCUCAAAAAUUCUCUACAUUUUAACCACCAUAAUACUACACAAUAAUUAUGUUAUGAAUUAUGAAAAUUAUAUUAACUUUUAGAAAAAAAAUAAAAACUUUUGAUUUUCCAACAAUUUCAUUUGUAAGUAUAACUAACAUUUCACAUCUAACCCCUCCGGAUAAAACAAAAUCACCCCUACACUGAUAAACCUUUGUACUAAUUAAUUUUAAUUUAAACUACAAAUCAGACCUUAUAAUUUGUAACUUUUAUUGAUUAUGAUAUCAAAAUUCAAUGCCAAAAUAAAAACUAAUACUACACAACAUACAACAUAUUAAAUAAAAGGGGAAUUUGCCCUUGAAUUUUGAUAUCAUAAUAACUUCUUAUGAUAUUAUUUUCUACAAGUACCCUCUCUAGGUGUCAAUUUUCAAAAAUACCGUCUUCAAUGUACAAAAUUAUUAAAUUACCUUUUUAAUAUUACUAAUGAUGAAGAAAGAAAUAUUCUUUUCAACAAAAAGAAUAUUCCUUCCGAAAAAUUUCCCGCCAAAAAUUUCUGAUAAAAAUUUACCCGCCGAAAUUUUCCGACAAAAAGUUUCAGACAAAAAAUUUCCCGCCAAAUUUUUUCCGUAAUUCCUUAAAAAACCUUUUAAAAAACCUUGUAAAUAUUUUUAAAACCAUUAAUAAACCUUUAAUAAACCUUGUAAGUAUUUUAAAAUCAUCCAAAACCAGUUUCAAAACUUUGGUAAACCUUUUAAAACCUUUGUAAAUAAUUUUAUAACAUUUAUAAACACUUGUAAAUCCCUUUAAACCCUCUAUAACCGUGGUAAAUCCUUUAAUAAAAACUUUUGUAAACUUUUAAAACCCUUUAAAAACCUUUGUAAAUCCUUAAAACCCAUUUUAAAGUCCUUGUAAUGCCCUUUAAAAAACUUUUGUAAACCCUUUAAAAAACUUUUGUAAACUUCUAAAACCCUUUAAACCCCCGUGUAAAUCCUUAAAAAAAAUUAAAUCUUUGUAAAUAUCUUUGAAAAUCUUUGUAAAUCCUUUAAAACUAUUUUUAAAUCCUUACAAAUGCCUUUAAAACACUUGUAAAUCCUUUUAAAACCCCUUUAAAAAUCCUUCUAAAUUUUAUAAAAUGAAUUGAAAAUCUUGUAAAAUCCUUGUAAAUCCUUAAAAAACCGGUAUAAACUUAUAAAAUCUUUUAAAACCCAUUGUAAAUCCUUCAAAAACCAUUCAAAAACCUUUGUAAGCUUCUAAAACCCUUUAAAAUCAUUACAAAUCUUCUAAAACCCAUUUAAAAUAUAUUGUAAAUCCCUUUAAAAACCCUUGUACAUCGUUUAAAAAUCCUUUUAAACCCUUUAAAAAAAAGUUUGGCCGAAAAUUUUUGCAAAAACUUGUUUUUGAGGGAAAAUUUUCGCGGAAAUUUUUUUGGCGGGAAAUGUUUUGUCGGAAAUUUGGCGAGAAAAUUUUGUCAGAAAUUUUUUGGCUGGAAAUUUUAGGCGGAAAAUAUUUGGCGGAAAAAUAUCCCCGCUCAUCUUAAAGAUUUGGACAAUCAAGCUUAAGCUUAUGUAAAAACCAAGAGAACUAGACUUGGAAACUGUUAACGUCGAGGUUGAAAUCGAAAUUUUUUGAUAUGGUUCAGGUUGGUUAUUUGAAUUGAAAGCUGGUUUGGGUUGUAAAAUUUAGAUUAUGCGAGUUUGGGUAUGAAAAUACCUUUGGGAAUAGUUUGGGUAGAUUUUCCCCGUUUUCCCGAAAAGGGGAAUUUUGAAAUUCUUCCAAAUUUAAAUAUAUUUUCAUUACAAACGUCCACAUUUAAAUUCGAAUAAUAUUUAUCGAAACAAAUUGGUUUUAGAUCUUAUUGCUUAACAUAUUUUCAACUAAUUUAUAAUAAUAAAUAUUGAAAAUAAAUAUCUAAAUAUUUGCAAAUUCUAAUUUUUGAUAUUUCAUAUAUAGUUUCUUAAUAUAUAUGACUAUUGUAUAUCAAUUAUGUUCUUAAUUUCACAGUUAACAUAUUAUCAAAUCUUCAAGAUUUCUCAAAUAAAAAAUCUAAACAAGAAAUCUGAUUUAAAUUCUAAAUAAUUAAGAUAUUAAAUUUACCUACCUAUGUAAACCUAAUUUUUUUUGAAAUUCGGUCAAUUUUUCCCUAUAGAUAUACGAUUAAGGUCAAAAGGACUCAUUAGUAACCUUUUAUUUUUAAAAAGGAUUGACUGGAAAAAAUAAUAUCUACUCAAUAAUUUUAAUUUAGAAAUUUAAUUUAAUGGUGUAAAGUUGUGUCCAUAAAAAUAUUAUUUUUUAAAAUACCCCUUUUCAAACUUUAUAAAAAAACCACUAAAAAUGAUGAAAUCUAUCCAAUUAUGUGUGUCAGUUUAUAAAUAUACCCACAAAUUACUUUUGUAUGUGUACAAAAUUCUAUAUAUCUUUCAUAAGUAGUGUACAAAUAACUUAUAAAAACCUUUUAAAAAGCUUAUAAAACCUUUUAAAAACCUUGUGAAAACGAUUUAAAGCUUUUGAAAACAAUAUAGAAUAUUUGUAUUGAAUCUUCCAUGAUUAGUUAUUAUAAAGAAGUACCUUAUAAACCAUAUAAAAUUUAUAAUUUUCAUAUUUAAACAGGGGUAUUUUGAAAAUGGAUAGAUAAAAAAGGUAUUUUUGAAAAAGGUAAAAUAAAAGGGGUAUUUCUCAAAAAUUCUCUUAAAUUUAAAAUUGGAGAUAUGUAAAUUUCUUUGAUUUUGCUUGUAUUUUGAGUUAUUUUAAAAAACUGUAAAUCAAUUUAAUACAAUUAAAUAAAAAUAAAUCAUCAUUUAGUUUAGAUUUUGAAAAAUAUCCUUAAGGAAACUAAUUAUAUUAGUAGAUUUUUUUAAUCUAAAUAUAUGAUUACACACGCGGGUGACACAUGUCUAGCAGGUUAAAUGUAAAAUUUCACUAACUUGAGUAAGGCUAAGCGCCGGGAUAAUUUAGUAUCUAUCUAUAAAAAAAACUGAUCUUGUUGGCAAAUAGGGAUGCAACACGGGAGCAAAUAAUUCGAAAAAUAAAAACAUUAUCUCAACUAUUUCUCAUAAAAAAAAAGACGAGAAAUAAAGGUAACUAGACUAGAUCAUAAAAUUUGGGUUUGAUCCGUUGAGGAGCAAGCAUAUCAGGCGGGUUUGACUUGAUUAAUAACUAUAUCUAGGUCUUCCGGUUCAAGAAGUAUUUCUUACCUAUUUCCUAAUUUGUUAGAUUAAAAUAUACAAUUUUAGAAGAGUAAAUUAUUAUUAAAAUGACGAUUAUAAGUUGGAGAAACAUGAUAUAUAUGAGACAAUUUUUCCGUUCUAAAAUAGACAUACCGCUUUUCUCUUAUCAUUCUUUGAUGUAUUUAUCUUUUCUCAUAGCAAAAAAAAAAUCUGAUCGUUCUUUUUAUCUAAACUGAUGUAAAAACAAAUCAAACAUUAAAUAAUAGCAUUCCUAAAAAUAGGUUUACGAAAACAUAAUCCGUAUGUACGUAAUAUAUUAGAAACAUGAUUACAAACUUAGUUUUUGAAAUCAACUCCGUAUGUACAUGUAUGUCUGAAUCUAGAUUUGGUUACAUAUAUAAAUGGUUACAAAAAAUAUGGACAUCUACCUUCUUUAUAUUUUUAGAACUAUCAGCUACAUGCCUAAUUAAAAUUCACAACUAUUUACUAAAUUCUAAAAUAAAAGUUCAUUUUUUAUAUAUCUUAUAAGUAUAUUGCUAUACAUUUGAAAAAUAACAUCAUAUAACAAAUUUUAACAAAAUACUACUUUAUAAAAAAAAUAAAAGUACAUAAAUAUAACUUCUUUUUUUUUUGAAUCGUGCAAAAAGAUUGAUUUUUAAUAAUAACUUCCCGUUUACUUAUUGGCCCAUAUAACAAUUUACAAAAAAAAAAAUGGUCCAUAUAAUAUUUAUCAUACAUAAUGUUUAGGAUAAAGGAUGGAAUAUGACUUCCCACCAAAAAAAAAAGGAUGGAAUAUGACUCGUUCAAUAUAUAUCCAACAAAUAUUGGUUUUUUGUCAACUGAAUUAACUAAUUCCAUUGGAUAAAGAAUUCAUUUAGGGGACGGUUGAAUAGAAUAUAUAAACGCGUGGGAAAAUUAAACAAAUAUUUAAGCGCGUAAGAAAAUUACCAGUAGGAGUUAAUUUAUAGUUUGUGUAUAUGUAGACAUCAUUAGUGAUACAGCAUAACUUUAGUUUGGUACUUCAUUUAGUUUUAUCACUUUAUGAAGGUCAAUUUUUAUUUAAUUUCAAUAAUUAAGAAGUUCUCUACAUUUCUUCAAAUCCGAAACUAAAAUAUGUUAUAUAUGCUUGUUUUUCAAGAGCAAAACAAAUCAGUGACCUUUAGACAUUUACCCCAUUUUUUUUUAUGUUUAAACCUAAACAUUUUUUCUUGAAAGAAAAAAUACAUGAACUAACUAACGGUUGUUAUUUUCAUACUCACGCUCUCUAACCAAAAUAAAAUUAUAAUUUUAUCUUUAGCAUUUGAAUUAAUUAUUGAUGUUUAAAUCAUGUGACAAUAAUUUCUAACUUUAUGUAAUGAAAACUAAUUUUAACUCAAAAAUAAAAUUUCUUUGAUAUAUUUUUUACUAUUAUUAUUUAUUUGUAAAAUAAAUAAAUAAAUAAAAAUAUUACAAAAAUCUAAAAAUACAAAGUUUACUCAAGUGUUAUUGGAAAAUUGUAACCAAAACUGAUUUGAAAUAACCUAAAUUUUUUGUAAUUUAUUAAUUUGUAAGCAAAAACUAAAAUUUAUUUAUAAAUUUUCUUUCUGUUUACUUUCUUUAAUUUUUAUAAAUUGAUUAGAUUUUCUUUAUUUUCUAUUUAUUCUUUAAUAAUAACAGUAAAACAAAAAUAUCAAAAUAUUUCUUUUUUAGUUAAAAUAAUUUUUUUAACAAAUAAAAAUUAAAGUUAUCGCCACAUCAUUUAAAAGUUACCGCCAUAUCAUUUAAACAUUAAUUUAGAUGGUAGGGAUAAAAUUGAAAUUAUAUUUUUGUUUUGAGAUCAUGGGUAUGAAAGUAACAAAAUUUUAUUUUUUGGGAUAUUUAAAUCAGAAAUGUCAAUUAGUAUAUGUAUUUUUCUUCCAAAAAAAAAAGUUCAAGUUUAAACGUCCAAAAAAAAUAAACCAGGUAUUUUUUGGGGUUUUUCCCUAAAACUAAUUCAUUUUCUGUUUAUUUUUUUCUUAAUUGAUAUAUGUUAUGUGUGGAAGUCGAAUAAGUCGUGUCUGCUUGGAUCUGAUGUAGCUCUUUAUCAGGAUGAUCAUCGUGGGUCCGAUGAUAUCGAGAAACUGCAACGAGAGACAGAACAAGACUCUGCGAUUGAGGAUAUUACUUCACAAGCUCUUGUACCGAAUUAGUUCCAAAUAAUCGGAAGCACAAGUGAUGGAUGUUUCUUCAUGGACAACACUCUGAUGACAUGGCACAUCAAAAAACAGAAUGGCGUCUCCCUAUCAACUGUAGAAGCUGAACAUAUUGCACUUGGGAGCUGUUGCUCACUACUCAAGUGGAUGAAACAAAUAGCUGGACACUAUGGUAUAAGUUCUGAUACUCUUUUAAUUCAUUGUGACAACCAGUUUACAAUCCACAUUGCUAAGAAUCAUGUUCAACAAUCACGUAUUAAGUAUAUUGAUAUUAGACAUUUUAUUCGUGAACUUCUUGAGGCGAAAUUGAUUGUGGUUGAUCAUGUGAGUAAACUGGCUGAUUUGCUUACUAAACAUGUGGAUUUCAACAGAUUUGUGAAUCUAACAAAAUUCAUUUGGAUUUGUAAGAUCUAAUUUUAUAGAGAGUUGUGCUGAUCUAAUUAAGACAUGGACAGAAGUUAGAAAUCCUAAGGAUGUAUAGAAGAUCAGAACCAUAUGCAUGUGUUCCGGUUUAAAGUGUGUGAAAUAUAGAUGCAUGUCAUGCCGAUCCUUAUAGUCAUUCCUGUAAAAUGUUGUCAUGAUAACGAAGGUCAAAGAGCUGAGGAGAGGUGGAAGUGUGCAUGUUUUAAUGAGUAAUCAAAAUUGUGAUGACAUCAAAAUCCAAUCCAGUACACACUUGAUAGAGAUCUGAAUUCACUAAUGAAGACAUGCACAAGGACCAGUAGUUGAGAAGUCAAACGAUAUCACUGAUCCACAAAUCAAAAGUUUAAUAGAAGCUUGGUCAAAAGUCAACACUCUGAGAGAAGACUCUGCUUGACUAUUAUAAAUCGAAGCUUCACAGGUAGUGUGUUAAACAAAAAAGAGAAAAAAAAAAUAAUAAUAAUGAUAAUAUAAAUAAAUAAAAAUGAAAAUAGAAAAAGAGGUUUAACACAAUCCUGAUACUAUACUCUCCAAAGGAUAUUCCAGCUGUCUGUUCAAGUUUUGUUUGAACUACUUAGGUUGAAGGCAUGACUACUGUGUGAAAGUCUAGCCGCUGAACUCAAACCUGAUAUGUCGAAGAUUCGGAAGGUUAUAGUAGUUUUUUAGCUUUUUCCUGAACAUGUGGUUGGCACAGAACACAGAAGAAUGAGUCUCAAGAUACAUAUUUGAAAAUUUAAUGUUAAUAUUUAUGAGUCCUCACAUAUUGAUUAUCUCUCUGGGUCCCUAAAGCAUGUUCAUGUAAACUGAUGACUAACUGAUUCUAAAUAAAAAGGGAGAUAAUUGAUAGUUUGUAUUGAACUCAAGUCUUUAAGUAAAGACAGAUGACUCAUUCGGAUUCAAGGCUCUGUUGGUUAGUGUACACUGAUGGUUUUGUUAAAUGUUUAAUGUUUCCUAUGUUUAAGUUUAUAGGUCCAAACCCAUUUGUUUCUUCCUGUGAGUAUGGUCUCUAAACGUUAAGGAAGAGUACGUAGAAGAGUGCAUAUGCUUUCGGGUCUUGGAGUCGACAGGAAGAUGUUGGGAGAACAACUCUAGUUGAUAAUCUAAUGGUGCAAAAGAUGGUUAUGAAACAUGAUUCAGCUGUGCAAGGAAAACAGAGUGGUAAAGUAAAUCACAAGGCUGUGGGUUUUUGGGAUGACCGAGAGCAACAAGAUUCUGUUGAAUCUUGGAAGUUUUGUGUUUGUUUGCAUCCUCGGUGUGAUUCAGUCUAUACGAUUGAAGUGUUAUCUGCUGCUCAAGUGCUUCAGGAGGCAAUGCACUAUUUUGCAGGUAAGGGAUUCCAUGACUCUGCAUACUGAUGUGAUAUAACUGUUUGUUUUUGCCUUAGUUGUUCACUCAAGCAAAGGGAGAUGAUCUGGUUUCGAUAUCAUUUGAAUUAGUGAUUGAGAAUAUGCCAAUUAAUUGAGUAUGUUUUCAGAGAACUAUUAAGAACAUGGUGGUUUCCGACUUUUAGGUUCUUAAACAUAGUUCUGUUUGAACAAACUGCUGACUGAUUAUGCUAGAUAAUGAUUGUGUUUUGUCUAGUUGUUGCUUGUACUGUUUUUUUUUUUGCUUAUGUUUGUUGGAGUAUCUUUUCAGGUUUAACCAGAAGGAUGCUUGAGUAUCAAACUAAGUCAAAAAGGGGAGAUUGUAGAUGCAGUUCUAGAACAACUCGUUGUUUGGAUCAAGAAGCUGCAUUUGUUCAGACGCCUGAGAAUACAUCAGGCGACUAAGAUCACAGCAGACGCUUGAGCUGCUGCCAUGGAUGCGUAAGAUGACGUGGCAAAGCACAAGUGGAUGAAGCGAUGCGCCAAGGAGGUUUGCUGACUUGGCAACGAAGAUAGAAACGCAUUGGGUGUGAAUAUAUGGAGAAUAUCCUUCACAACAAUAAGGAAAGGGAUAAACUUGACAAGCAAGCUAUUCCCAAAAGCGUGAUUCUCGGAGAUUCGCCUGCUAGGGUUUCUCGGGUUUAGUAUAAAUAUUCUAGGGUUGGCCACGAGUCUCAUUAGCACUCCUAGAAUAUUGAUAUACAAUUGUAAACUUCGAAGCCACAAAAAUAAGGCUUAGAAGGGUGAGUGUAAGCCAUUAAAAAAAGACGUUACAAUGAAAUGACACAACAAUAGAUGAUAUUUUAUAGUUUUCUAAAAUGAAUAUAAAAAUGUAUUUUACAAAAAAGUACGGAAAAAUAGUAUUAUACAUUUUUGAAAAAAAACUCUCUUAUUGUCCAUUUUCAAAAAUACUCUCUUUUUUAUUUAUUUUUAAAUCAUUUUAAAAGGGUACGACGAAAAGAAGCAUACGAAAAAAUUACAACGGAAAAACUCAAAUAAAAACUUACAACGAAAAGAUACUAACGAAAGAUUACAACGAAAAACGUAAACAUUUUUUUAUGGAAAGACAAAACCUUUGGUGGCAUUUUCAAUUGGGAAAAACCCGAAAAAUACGCCAUUUGAUUUUAUUGUGGCCGUUUAAUACCUGCACUAUUAAAUUUGGAAUAAAAAUAGUUGGUUUAAUUUUUGUUGUAACAAAAAACUUCGUUUUAUGAAUGUUGGUAAAUCUAUACGUUCAAGUUAACAGCCCUUAACGAUGGUCAAAAGCAUCCCAUUCAUCAUCUGUGUCCAUAGCAGGUUCAGGACGCUUAGCAUCCAUGCAUUGCCUCUCAAAUUCUUCAUCCUCUUCCACUUGAUAUGUAUCAUGAGCAGCAGCUUCUUCCUCAGCUUGGUAUGUAUCUUGACCAGCAGCUUCUUCCCCAGCUUGAUUACAAUCCCCUCCAAGCUCAGAAUCUCUAUUAAUUUCUUCGUAAAAAGCCCUAAAUAGUGGAUCAUCCUGACCUCCAACAACUUCUUCUAUUGGAUCUUCUCCAAUAUCCUGUCCAACUUGCUCCUCAUGAACCUCACCAGCUUUAUCUCCUUCAAUCUCUUCAUCAGACCCUGCAUCAACUUCAACAUUAAACUCUUCACCAGGCUGAGACAGAGGAAAUGGAGGGUUGAGACACAGCUUGCUGAAUGUAGAUGUCGACUUCACCACGACUCAUAGCUUCACUACACAACUGCCUAAUCCCACUAUCUUUAUCUUCUUUGAUAACUCUCGCGACAUACAUGUCUUCUUCUGGAAGCUUGUACCAGACUUGUUCUACUGCCCCCGAUACUCCUUUCUAUGAGCAGAACUCGUCGAAGAUUGACCACGUCAUCAAGUCUGGAUCAAUCGACAUAUCUUUACACUCUAUUCCUCAAAUAUAGAGGAAGGACCCAUCCUUCAACGAAACAUCUCCUCUGGAGUUAAUAUUGAGUUUUAUAUGCUCGAAACCACUGAAAAUUUAAAUAAUCAAGUGAUUAGCCAGUAUAUAUCCAUCGCCAACCCAGAAAAAUUGAACAAAACUAGACGAAAUCAAAAUCGGGAUCCAAUAAAAUACAUCUCAAACCUAGAAAAUUACGAACCCUAAACUGAGGAAAUUGAAUCGACAUACCUCAUCUCUCUGUAAUCAAGUUAACGCCUUCAACAGACCACACAAUUACACAGACCCGCAGCUAAUCAAACGCCCACAAUCAUCGCAUUCGUCGGAAUUAAGGAUUACAAAUGGAAGAGAAGCAAAAUCGCUUUUAGGAUUCAAAAAAAUCUCAAAUUGAUUUGGGGGAAAAGUGAAAGGGUAACAGUGUCUUUCGUUUAGACUAAUUAACCAUGUGAGGUUAACUUCUAACCGCGUUUAACGAUUCCGUAACCAGCGUUAACGUCUGUUAACUGUCAAAAUUAAACCACGUAUUUUUGUUCCAAAUUUAAUAAUACAAGUAUUAAACUGUCAAAAUAAAAUUAAAUGGCGUAUUUUUUGGGAUAUUUCCCAUUUUCAAUUUGUUGCUAUUGAAAAAAUGGCAUUGCCUUCAUUUUAUUUUUUUGCUGUAAGUUUAAGAGAAUUUUUGAGAAAUACCCUUUUUGGUGUACCCAUUUUUAAAAAUACCCCUAUUUUCUAUUCAUUUUCAAAAAUACCCUUUUUCAAAUAUGAAAAAUUAUAAACUUUUAUAUGGUUGAUAAGGUACAUCAAGAUCAUCAUUACUACUGGAAGACUAAAUCCAAAUAUUUAGAAGGUUUUAAAAGGUUCUAAACGGCAUUUAUAUGGUUUUUAUAAGGUUUUUAAAAGGUUUACACAGUUUUUAUAAGCUUUUUAUAUGAUUUUUAAAAGGUAUUUAUACAGUACUUAUGAAAUAUAUAUAUAAAUUUACACACAUGUAAAGAUAAUUUGUGUCUAUAAAUAUAAGUUUAUACUUAUUUUUUUGAUAAAUUUCAAUUUUUAUUGUGACUUUUUGAUAAAAUUAGAAAGAUGGGUAUUUUUAAAAAGUGGUGUUAGAAAAGGGGUAUUUUUGAAAUUUCUCCUAAGUUUAAUCCAAAAUUAUUUAAAAAAAAUGAUUCGUUCCCGGACGGAGGAAAAACAAUUUGAUUCUCUACAGUUUCUACAACACCAUAGCCCAUAGUUUCGGUUCUUCAAUUCUCUCAAUGAAAAACCAAACAGAACCGAUAAAAUCAACGAACCAACCAAAUAGAACCGAUAAAAUUAAUAAAUUUAAUUAAACCAGAACUGGUCAACUGGAAUUGGGUAGCAACUACUAGCACGUCUCAUGCGUUUACAAUUUCAUCCAUACUUUUUAAUGAUUUGCAGAAACGUCUACGAAGGCUGUUUGAUUAAUGAUUUGAUUUAUAUAACGACAUGGUAACGUUGUUAAUUCGCAAUACUCCAAACAACUCAAACAUGAAUACAAACAAAGGAACCAAGCACUUCGACAACAUGAUCUACAACAAAAAUGACUCAUCAGUCUCUUCCUUCAUCAGCCACCUCACCGCGGCUUUCGUAAGCAAAGGAGUCAAGCUGGUUUUAGGGUUCGAACUUCUUCUAGUGAUUAUCACUAUGGACUACGCAUCUUCUGUGCCAUGCCUAGAGAACCUUGUCGAGCACCGUGACAAGAACUAUGAGUUGGUUCCGGUGUUCUAUGGCAUAAGCAGAUCGACCGUGAAGCAACAAUCGGGGACGUUAAGUGAUGCAUUCAAAAAGCUCGAAGGUUCUUAUUCUGCAGAUCAGGUGAAUAAGUGGCGAUGUGCCCUAGCGGAAAUAGCCGAAAUAAAAGGCCAUGAGUAUGACGCGAAAUUAAGGUACGCGUAUAUAAUAAUAACCCCUAAUUUAAAUUUUUGCUUAGGAGGAUGUCCAACGGGAAAACGUAUAGAGAUAAUUUCACGAUUGAGCGUUCGAAAGAAAUAUAAUUUAUAAGACUAUUGGGUGUCCCUAUCCCACAUAUUUUGUAAAAUUAUUGGGUGUCUUUUAAACAAAAAAUAAAUAAAAAAUAAAUAUAUAUAUAUAUAUAUAUAAUUUAAGACACUCUUUCUUGAUUCUAUGGGUGGUGGUGUAUGGCCGUUCUUAGUUGGUGAAGCGAUAUGUCUGAUCUUUAGUUAACUUUUUUAGACACUUUCAUUUAACUAAUAUAAAACUAGUUUUUUAAAAUUGUUUUAGACACUCAUACAAAUAUCAUUGAUAAAGAUGGGUUGUACCUAUAUUAUUAUAUAAUGAUUUUUUUUAUAACGACUUUAAAGCAGUUCCAUUGAGCAUAUUCAAUGGUGACACCCUAAAACAAUUAAUUAUAAUAUUUUAUGCAAAAGUAAUUUUUUAGAUACUCUUAAGUUCAUAUAAAAUUUGACCCAUCCAAUAGAAACACUCAAUGAGGUGUUUUUAAAAAAAUGUACAUAAAAAUUAUAUUAAUAAACUUUUAAAACAUAAUACAUAUAUGUUAAUCUAUUUGUAGAUAAACUUUUAACCUCAGAUAUGUUAACUAUAUAUUCCAAGCAGAAACAUAUAUAUUUUGUUUUUUUAACUUCUGCUUACCCUAAUUGAAAACCAUUAAAUCAAGAAUAACAAAAAAAAGAUAACAGGGAGAGACAAAAAGAGAGAGACUCGAUUGAAUUUUUCAUUUAUUUUUUCGUUUAUCAUUUUUUUCCUUUCACCAAUGAUAAUUUACCACAUCAGCUGUUCUUAAACUCAAAAACAUAUCCUAUUUAACACACGAAUCUUAUUAUUGGCCUAAAAUUUUGAAUAAACAAUAUUAUUAUUCUAUAAAAUUAAUGUUUAGACACUCAGAAUAUCACCAUUGUACUUUCUUUAAGAGCAUACACAAUGGUGAUAUUUCAUGUGUCUUAACAUUUUCUUAUAGAAUAAUAAUCAAGUUUAUUAUAAAAAUUGAUCCAAUUAAUAAGAUCAAUGUCUAAAAUAAGAUAUAUUUUAAGGGUUAAGAAAAAAGAAAAAGAAAAAAAUGUAUUGUGUUUUAAAGUUUAUUAACAUGUUUUUUAUCUACCUUUAUUGAGUAUCUUCAUUGUAUGGGUCAAAAUUCUAUAAUAACUUAAAGUGUCUAAUAAAUAAUUUUUGUAUAAAAUAUCAUAAUUAAUUGUAUUAGACACCCAGUAUAGGAGUGUUUUGUAUUUUAAAAUAAAAACUGAGGAGAGAGUGAGUUAUGUUAAUGGUUCGAGAGACUCUUUAGAAAUGAUCUCUACACAUUGUUGUCAAUGAUUCGUUUAAUAAAUAAAUAAAAAUAAUAUUAGAUAGAUAUGAAUAUUUUACUCUUGUCAUGCUCUUAGAGCAUCAUUAUUAAGAUCAUCUUAAGCUUGGAUCUUAUGAAUAAAUUUAGUAUUGAAAAAAGUAGAGUUAAAAAUUAAGACACUUUGAUUUUGUAUCUUAUUUAAGAUACUAUCUUACUCUUUAAACCAUUUUUUGUAUUUUAUUUAAUAACAAAUUACGCUAACAUUUUUUUAAGAUCUCCCUAUUAAAGAUAGUCUUAGAACUCUGCUGGUGUUCUUAAACCACCUCAUGAAUAGAAUGAAGGAUAAUUUGAAUGUCUUUGAAAUCUAAAAAAUAAUAAUCAACAAAAAUUGUAGACACCUAUUUUUUAUAUUGGUGGCUAUAGAAACUACAUUAAUAUACUCAUUUUAAGACACUACAUUAAACUAAUAAUAAAUUUAUUAUUAAAUAUGUUAUUUUUGUCAAGAAUUUUAUAAAAUAUGUUUAACAUAUGUUUUUUUAGUAUUGUCAAUAGAGAUGCUCUUAUUACAAUGUUUUGGGGUGUUUAUUAAUAAUAUAAGAAGUUUCUUUUUCGUGGUAACUUUAGAUUUCAAACGCUUUACAUCACAUAUAACGCUUUAUAGAACAAUCAAGUCGUUAUUUUCAUGCAAACACAUUAUUCCGGUUGUUUAAUUCUUAUUUUAUUUUUUGAACCAGACAUUAUUCAAGUUGUUGCAUCAAACAUCUCUAUACGCUUGCUUUAUAGUAGCAAACUAGAUUUGAACCCGCUUGUUAAUCAUACCUAGAUGUUUUUUAUCACAAAAAAACUAUUGUUGGUUUUAUAAUUAUAUUUUAUAUAAUAUAUUAUAAAUUUCAUAUUUAUUAAUUUAGUAUAUUUUAUUUAUAAAUGGGUAACCCAUAUAAACCAUUUAGCCACUAGUUUUUUUUAUUAUUGGGUUUGGGUAAGUAUAUUCAACCUAUUAUAAUAAAUGGGUCGGGUUAAACCCGCCCACGAAAACCUUAAACCCAUGUGGGUUUGGGUCGGGUCGGGUUGGGUUACCCAUUUGACACACCCGUACUAUACAAUUAUAAACAAUACUUUAGUACAUCCAUUUUUGUAUCGUUUGAGAAACAUACGUUUGUUUUCAAAAAUUCAAAUUGUAACAUAUGAAAAAAUAAUUAUAUUUUAUUAUACAUAUGUUUUAUAUAAUAAUAUAAAUUUAAAAACAAAUAAGAUCAUAUAAAGAUAUUAGAGACAUAUUUGAUUUAUAAGGGAGUGAUUUAAGGAAAUUUUGUUAAAUGUAAUAAAUAUUGAUUUCUAGUUUUGCAAUUUUAUUAUGAUUUAAUUACAUAAUUUACCUUAAUUUUUUAUUAUUUAUACAAAUGGCAAGAGUUUAAUUAUGCAAAUAUUUUAAAAUAAAAGGUUAUAACCCAAAAGAUACUUCAAAAAUGUUAAUAUAUAUAUACAAAGAAAGCUGAGAUUUAAUUUUAUAUUUUUGUCAACGAUAAUAUUAUUAAAAUUUAAAACCAAGCAAAAGACAAAUUUAAAAGAAUAUGUGAAUUCUGUUUUACAUCGACUAUUAACCUUGAAAAAACUUCUUAUUAUCUCAGUGAAGAAUCCAAAUUUGUGGAGGUGAUCGUGGAAGCUGUAUUUGAGAUACUCUAUCCUACGGAAGAGAUUGGGAUCCCCAAGCAGCAACUAUAUAUAGAAAACUUGCUAUGCAAGCAAGGAUGGGGCCUUCGAACCCUAGGCAUUUUAGGUGACCCUGGCAUUGGCAAGACAGUACUUGUUAAAGCGGUGUUUCGCCAAAUGGUUAGAGACUAUGAUGUUUCUCGCUUUGUGAACGAUUUCGACAAAGAACAUAGUGAGAACACACUUGAGCCUUUGCAUGAAGAAUUCUUUUCUACGACUCUAGUGGAAGAGUUUGACCUAAACAAUUCUGGUUCUAAGCAAUGCCAUCGCCAAAAAAGGGUUUUAAUUGUUCUAGAUGAUGCAAGAAAUGCUAAAUCCGCUAUGUCUUUUCUUGAGCGGAAUGAUCAGUUUGGUCCAGGGAGCUUGAUCAUCAUAACCUCAAGAGAUAGACAAGUUCUUGAAGAGUGCCGCCUCAGUGAAAUUUAUGAGCUUAACGGUCUAAAUGAUAAAGAUGCUAUGAAACUAUUCACAAGGUGUUUAUAUGGGAAAGAUGCAAUAGGUAAGAAUCUUCCAAUGAUUGAGAUUGAAGGUUUAAAAGGGAACCCGUUUGCUCUUCGCUCAUAUGCCGAGAAAGUUAAAAGCAAGAACACCGAUAAUAUGGAGGAGGUUUCGUCUAAUGAUGCUUUUGUUAAUACAAACAAGAACACAUCUAUGUGCAUCUACUCCAAUAUUGUAGACGAUGAUGAACAUGAAGAAUAUGGCAUAGCAAUGGUACGUUACAAUCGAUCUAACAUAUAUAUAUAUAUAUACCCUUUAAACUUCCUUAUAACGUAUGGAUCUUGAUAAUGACCUAAUCAAUUGGUUUGGAUUUCUCUUUUGUGUGUUUCAGACCACUGAAAUUUCAAGAGAUAUAGUUUUGAAGACUAUCUUGCAUGGCUCACAAAACAUUAUAUUUGAUGUGAAGAAUCACACAGAUUUCGAUCUUACUAACCAAGUCGCUGAGUCUGUAAGUGACCUAAGGAGUCCCUGUGUGGGUCGUCGUCCCUCUAAGAAGGUGCAAUCUUUGCCCCAACGUUUUCACAGAAGGCAACUUGUUCUACUCCAACAUUUUCACAGAAGGCAACUUGUUCUAUUCCGACGACUUGCUUGUCAAUUUUACAAACUUUGGCAAGGAUAUAAGGUAAGGGAAACAACAAAAACUAACAAUAGCUUCACCACUUUAGAACACGUACGGAGACAUGCAUGCCAAAAUAUUAAUAACCUCAUAUCGAAAAAAUUAUUACAACAUAUCAUUAAAAAAAGAUUUAAUGAAAUUUAAUUGAAUAUUUUUAGAUAUAAUUUUACGUGAAUGCUCUCUCGAUUCUCGAAUCACCUAAUUUUCCCUUAUUUUUUUCCGAGAAAUAAUAGCAUUAAAAUAAGUUUUGUGGUUAAUAAUCAAACUAUUUAUAAUCAAAUUCAAAUUGCAAAAUAAUAUAAUAAUCAUGUCAUGUUAAUUAAUUCUACAAAUAAAGAAGUAAAGGAGAAAAUUAAUAUUGGAAGAUAUGCUAUACUAAAUAAAUAAAAUAAUGAACUUCUUAUAAUGUAUAAUUUCAAAUUUUUUUUUUUAGGUAAAAACAUAAUAAGACUAUGUAUAUUAUAUAAAGUCAAUUGAAUCAAUUUAAUACUACAAAUAUUUUAAAAUAAAUGACAUACAGUAAAACCUCUAUAAAUUAAUAAUGUUGGGACCAAGAUAUUUUAUUAAUUUAUAGUGAUAUUAAUUUAUCUAUAAAUUAAUAUUUAUUAUUUUAUAGUGUAAAUUAAUAAUUAUUAAUUUAUAGUGGUAUUUAUAGUUUUUCAAAUUUUAAAAAAUUAUGAAUUGAUACAAUUUUACAAAAUAAGACUAAUUUUUUAAAUUUUAUAAAUUAUACAGUAGUUAGAAAGUGAAUACUAUAUUUAGGAAAAAAAAUUUGACUAUAAAUACAGAUAUUGUAGAUAAAUUCACUUACACAAAUGAUAUACAUAAAUUCAAAUGUAUAUUAAUAACCUCAAUUUUAUAUUUUUACAUCCUAUAUAAAAGUGAAUAUGAUGCAUAUUUAUUUUUUGUCAAUAAUAUGAUGCAUAUUUAAAAAUUGAAAGCAUAAAGAAAAUUUGGUUAUUUUUAUGACUUGUGAUGGUAUAUAUUACAAGAUUAUUGUUUAAAAAAAUACUAACAUGCAUAAAAUACUAACUCUAGGAGAAAAUUUAUUUUUACAAAAAAAAACUAAGAACAUAUAUUAAUAUAUCUACUUAUAUGUAUAUAUAGAGUGAUUAUUAAUUUAUGAUAUUAUUAGGACUAUAUUUUACAUAGGGAUGUCAGAAUAAUUAUUAUCUUAUUAUCUUAUCAAAUUUCGUCAAUUUUUACACCGGCCCGACUUGGGACCAGCAAAAUUUAUUAAUUUAUAGUGUUUAUUAAUUUAUACAGUAUUAAUUUAUAGAGGUUUUACUGUAUGUCGUAAGAAGAGAAAGACGAGCAGAUUUUUUGAACGUGCCAAAAAGAAACAUUACUUUAUUAUAUGUAUUAAUUUCAAUAUUCUUAUUAGUCCUUCACAAUUUUAUUUUCCAUCCUUUCAAAGAUAAAGAUGUGAUAAAAAUGUAUUUUGCCUUUGCUUUGGUAGCACAAAGGUAUAGAUUUCUGAUAUUGAUCACUUUUGUUUGAUUGCAGAGAUUCUCGAGGUUGAGGAAAAUUAAUCUUGGGCACUGUGAGAAAAUAAUUCAAGUUGUGGAACUCUCAAACGCACCUUACCUUGAGGAAAUAGAUCUUCAAGACUGCAAAAACUUGGAGAACAUACCAGACACUGAUGAGCUUGAGAAUCUCCAUUCUCUUGAUCUCUCUGGUUGCACUGGGAUCAAAUAUUUUCAAGAAAAUGUAAGGACCAUUGGAGAAUUAAAACUUGAAGGCACUGGGAUAAGAGAAAUAAGAUCCAAAAAUUCAAAGUUCUCAAGAUUAGUAAAACAACGAAGUGAUACGUACAACUUUGGAAUUUACACAGAGACAGUUGGAAUUUUCAGGAUUUUGAACUAAACUUUGAUCAAGUCUAGUUCAUGGGUGUUUUUUUUUUUUUCCUUUUUCUAAUAAAAAAAAAAAUAUGUACAGGAACAAAUCUUAUGUAAAAAAAAUCUGUAUUUCUGUAACUCGUUUUUUAAUUUUAUACAUGUAACUGUGUGAAAGAAAAACAACAAAAUAAUCAAAAUAAUAGUCUUGUCUGUGAUUAACUCAAUACUAUAUGCAGACUUAAUCGUAUAUGUGGAUAUUAAUUUCAGUCUUCAUGUGAACAAAUGUUACUCUACUGUUUACACCUCUAGAUCGAAUAAUGUCCGUGUUGAUAGCUUUGCGAAAUCGGUUCAAGCAUGAACCAAGAAAAAGAAAGCGGUUCGAACACGAGGUUCUACUUUUUCCAUAUAUGCUCUUAAGUUUCGGUAUGGCUAGCUCAUGAGGCUAGCCUACUUAAAUCUGUUUAAUAAAAUAUGGUGUUUUUGAUAUUAAAAGAAAUAAACAAUGUUAAAUAUGAUGACUCAGUUUGAUACUUAAUUUCAGUAGAUUAAGAUAGUUUUGUUUGAUGACAAAAAAAAAAAAAUUUGGUUUUUCGUUACUUCGGUUAUUAACGAAAACUGGUCUAGUUUUUUUAUUUAUAAAAAUGAUAUAAUCUGGUUAUUAAAAAUUUAAACAAAUUUGGUUAAGCUGAACCGAAUCAAACUAAUCGAAAUUGUCAGUUAACCGAACUAAUUUCGCAGAAUUACCGAUCAAUUAAUAACCAAUAACCAAAAUCAAACCGAACAACUAAAAUCUCGGUUCGGUUCAUUAAUUCACAACAAUUCACCCAACCAAAUCAAUUGGACCGUUUAAAUUAAACCCUGGUUAACUAAACUUUCUAAGGGUUUCAUUACAGUAACAAGAAACGCCGUCGAAGUCCCAAACCUUCACCGACACACUUUAAAAUUUUCCGGCGAUCUCGAAGUUCUUCUGGCCUUCUCAGUCAUCUUCACAAAUGAAUUCAGUUCAACGUUUCUCGUUGACAACACGGCGUGGGAGAAGGCUAAGCACCACCAUCGAGUCAUGUGUACGCCAUUUCUGCAGAGGACACGACGAAGGAGACUGGUUUUACUCGCCGGAAUGGUGGGAUCCUCACGACGGCGGCCACACAGUUUCACGAGCUGUCUCUGUUAAUGGAAACGGCGUCGUUUCAGUCGUCGCUCAUCCUUCUUCUCUCCCUGUGAGUUAAAAUCAGAUUCUUGAAACCUCUGUUUUUGUUUCUUGAAACCUCUGUUUUUGUUUCUUGAAACCUCUGUUUUUGUUUCUUGGAACCUCUGUUUUUGUUUCUUGGAACCUUAGUUUUUGUUUCUUGAAACCUUAGUUUUUGUUUCUUGAUUUAGGAGAGUGUUUAUAAUGAUUUAAUCUUAUGUAGAGUAGAGAUUCAUGGGGAGAAACUGAGAGAUGGUUAGAGAAAAGGUAUAUGGAAGUAAUGACUAGAGAUGGAGAAGAGAAGAAUGAGAUGUUUAAGAUACUUGGAUAUCAAUGGCGAUCGCUUCGGUUUAACGAUGAUACUCGACAAAGCACUGUUAAAGUCAUGGCUGCUUACAGAACAUUGCAACCUAGUUCUGUUUUCUAUAUGCAACAACCACAUUGUCUUGCUGUUCCAUGUGAGAUUGAUAUUUUCUUUAUUCCUUUCUUUUAUUAUAUGCUACCUUGUCUCACUUUUAGAGCUAUGUUGGUUUAGUUUUAUGCAUUAAGAUGCUUAUGUUUUAUGGAUACACAGAACAUAACUUGUUCUUGGAACUUGACUUGUUUGUUCUUGAAACAUGACUUGUUUAUUGUGUUUUAAGUAGUUGUGGUAGUCAUGUGUUUCCAAGUAUAAGUGUUUAGGUUCAUUGUGAUGUUGUUUUGUGGAGUUGGUCUCUAUGUUAUUAUUAAGCUGAACUCUUUAUUUAUUUAUUUUGGGUGACAGAUCUGAAGAGCAUGGUGUCAGUUGGAUUGACAUCUCUUACAGCUUCUAAAUUUGAUAUGAAGAGUGUAGCUAUUGGGGAGAAACAAAUGCACAUAUUAUGCAUCGGUCACGGUGGUGGAAGUUUACCGUUGUUUUUAGCUAAACACAUUCUUGGUAAGUACUAAUCAUUAUACCUAUAUCUCUGAAUUCAUAUGUAAACUGAUGUGGAUGGUGUUAUUGAUCUAUCUUCUAGGUGCUGUUGUUGACAUAGUUGAGCUUGACCCGCUCGUUAUCUCAGAGUCGGUUCGAGCAAUGGGGUUUCCUGCAUUCUCUGUCAUGACAGAAACCGGGAAACGUGCGUUACAAUCUCCGGAAGUUAUUGACCAAGUGAUGUGGAGAGGCAUCCAUGAGAGACUCUUUCUCUACGAAUCAAAAGCUGAGGAGUUCAUUCUCAAGAACCAAUGUAACACUUAUGACAUGAUCUUUAUGGAUGCUUAUGAUGGAGCUGACAUCUUUCCUCAUACUCUAUGGGAUUCUGGUUCGGUGUUUAUGAAAGCUCUGAGCAAAGUACUUCACCAUGAGCAUGGGACUAUGGUGGUGAAUCUUCACUCUGAUGCAGAUAUCUCUGACAUAGACAGAUCAAACGAAGGUGUGACAACGGGGAAGUAUGUUAGGAAGGUUGGUAGAGCUUAUAAAAAGGGUUUAAUGGAGAAUGAGAAGAAUGGGAUGGUGUUUGCUUGUGAUGUGCCAUGGCUAUGUAAUGUAUCUCUGGUGGUGAGUAGAGGGAUGAGCAAAGAAGGAAGACUUAAUGGUAAAGUCAUGAACAGUCUUAUGAAGACUUCACUAGAAGUUGACCAAAUCCUGCGUUUGCCUUUCUCUUGCUUGGAUUAUUUGAAAACUGGUCUUGCCAUUAUAUAACUUGAUCUCAGGAUUUGAGUUAUGUCUCUUAAUUAUGUUUUGUCCGUAGAAAAGAGAGAUAUGUAGCAAACACGAAAGACAAUAUGGUUUAGUUGUCUUGCAUUUGGGAUUGCAAUAGAAAUGUGUUGUGAUUCCAUAUAAUAGUACAAGAGUUGUCUCGUGCAUGAUGUGUAGCUCGAACACGAUAAAAGCCAAGGUCCCUUAAAGAGAAGUUGAUCUUCUUGUUUCAUGUUGACCAUGCACAUAGCAUCUAACUUUACCCUUGUAGUACUCUCCAAUUGAGACUCUAAUAGGAUUUGUGUUUCUUGCAUUCCAGUCUGUUGGUUGCCAUCUCCAUCGAGAGGAUUCAGUAGUAGCAGCAUGUUUUGAACAUAGAUAACUUAAAUUUUGAGUUAGUUCAGACAACUAGAGUUUCUCUUAAAUCAAGAAUUGUAUUACAAGUCUUAUCAUAUUAUGAAUGUACUUAGACCAUGCAAAGUUGCAAUGUUUUAUUCACGAAUAAGGCUAAAAGAGAUAGGUUCGAAAUCAAGCAGAAGAUGGGAUAGCCAUAAGAGGGAAUUUGCGGAAAAUCACAAGGCCGGUUGCUUCAGUUAGAUCAUCUUGAACCCUUUCUGGUUGGACAUCCAUUCUCCAGUUGAACCGUUUCACAAUGUUGGCCAAUGUCACCCCGAUCAACGCCGAUGUGAAUCCUAUUCCGGGACAUAUUCUUUUUCCCGAUCCAAACGGAAUAAACUUAAAAUCUUGUCCUUGAAAAUCCAAAUCCGAGUCUAAAUGCCUUUCCGGCCUAAACUCUUCAGCAUCUUGCCCCCAUGUUAUAGUGUCUCGUUGGAUUGCCCAAGCAUUGACUAUAACCUGUGUGCCUGAAGGAACAUUGUAUCCUUUUAACUUGACAUUUUCGCUAAAUACUCGUGGAACCAACAAUGGAGCCGGUGGACGCAACCGUAAAGCCUCCUUAAUAACAGCUUGUAAAUAAUUCAUCUUCUCAGCUUCUUUCUCCGUUAUAAAUAAAUCUUGUGGUGACUUUGAACGAACCUCUUCUUGAAGUUUCUUCAUGGCCUUUGGAUGUCUCAUAAGCUCUGUCAUUGUCCAUUCAAGAAAUGAUAGAGUUGUUGCCGUUCCAGCUAAGAACAUAUCCUAAGGAUAAAAACAAGUAAAAUGUCAACAUGUUAAAGCUAAUAUAGAAGCACGCCUAAUAACUAGUUAUAAUACUUACCCAUAUGAUAAGUUUUAAGGCACUUUUCUCAAGCUCGAAUUGUCCCGUCUUAUCGCUUUGAAUCAUUAGCAACUUAUCAACCAAGUCGGAUCUGGUCUCUUUAUUUGCUUCUUCAUGUUCUUUAACAACUCUUUCCAAAAAUUCAUCAAACCUUUUAUCUACUUCCUCCAUUUUAUGAUCAAGACCGCGCAUCUUAUCGAUCCAAGACAAACUAGGAAUGUAUUCUCCAAUAGGAAACUCACCUAAGAGUGCAGCAAAUGUCCUCACUAUGUUCUCUACAUCAAUCUUAUCUUUCUUGCUACUAUAUUUUCUUCCCAAGGCAGCUCUACAUAUUAUAUCAUUUGUCAAAGUCAUUAAGAGUUGGCUUAGAUUUACCGGUGAGGAUGAAGAUGAACAACUUGCUUUUUUCAACUUUUCGAUCAUUAGUUUAAUCUCUUCUUCUCUUAUCUUCUCAUAAGACCUAACCAUUUUGUUGUUGAGUAGAUUUUGGAUGCAUAUACUCUACAUCCAACACAAAAUUCAAAAUAUUUUGUUACUACUACUCUCCUUUUUUUACAUUAAGUAUUCUUGAAACACUAAUCUCUUUGUUUUAUAAUAGGAGUAAAAACAUUUUAACAUGUUAAAAUGACUUAGUGAGCUACCAAACCAUAGUUAUGAAUGAAAACAAAACACUAGUUGUUAUUUUAACUACCUUCAUUUGUCUCCAAUAUUCUCCAUAAGGAGCAAAAGCCACAUCUCUCCCACCACUCAGAAUUUUAUCGACCACUUUUGUUUUUGGGCGGUUUGCACAAACAAGAUCAUGUGUCUUCAUGACUUCAUGAGCAACCUCAGCGGAGGAGACUAUGAGGACUGGUGUACGGCCGAAAUGAAGGAGCAUGAGUGGUCCAUAUCGGAGACUCAAAGAACGAAGAGAGCGGUGAGUAUUGAGGCUGAGCUGAUGGAGGUUUCCGAUCACCGGAAGUCGCCAUGGGGAUGGUGGUAGGUUAAACUUGUUUGUGGAGGUUCUUUGGAGGAUGUAUUUUAGGAGAAGUGCAAGGAUGGUAGUUAAACACAAAGUGAUUAAUAUCAUUACCAUUUCAAUUUAAAUUUCUCAUAUAAGUGUUUGGUAAAUGUAUUUGUUAUUUGUGAAUUUGUGCAUUUCCUCUUCCUGUCUACUUUGUAAUUUAUAGAGUUUUGGAUCCCAGAUUCCAAACGUACUAUUUUACUAUGCACACGAGAAUAUACAGUAGUAUAACAAUCAUUUUACACGCAAAAUGUUUUGGUUAAUAUAUCUAAAGGGUCUUUUGCAAAUAAAUUUUAUAAAUUUCUAUUUCUUACAACUUUAUCUUUCAAAUCCAAAAAAAUAUAAGUUAAUUUUGCGACGUCAAGAAAUACGUAAUAUAACACAUUUUUGUUACCGUCAAAUUAAAUUUGUAAGUAUUUGAUAAUAAUACAUCAAGUUAAAGUCCUCAUGGUAAGAAUUUCAAAUAUAUUUUUAGAAUUGUUAAAAUGGACGUACAUGUCUGUAAAAUAAAGUAGAAAAUACUGCAACAAUCCGCCCCGUGGGACACUCUGCCACAUGGUGUUCCUCCUUGGCCCACCAGGGUUGUCUUCUUACUUGGAAUGAUUAAUUUGCAGUUUUUAGAAAUGGAGGGUAGAAUUGGAAAAGUUGGUGACUUGAUAACCUAAUCUAAAUAUAUAUAGAGCCUAAUUUAAGAAUCUGCAAUAAGACUUUUGUUAUAUGUUACUUCUAACUUAGUAGUUUUUUUUUUAUGUUACAUCCGACUAAAAUAUGGUAUUUGACUAGGGCCCGAAUGGCAUUCCGAUUUGAGUGUGAUUACAAUUUGAGUAUGAGAGCGAUGUGAUUAGUUAGAAAUAUGAAUGAGGUGAUUCGGGUGCGAUGUCAUUACAUCAUAUUUUCCAAUGAUAACACGGUUUGAAUGCAAUUAGAAAACAAAACUACUAAAUAAACAUUUUAUUAUAUACCUUUGAUGACUACACUAAUUCGGUCGAUAUUAAUUUCAAAUAAAAUCUGGUAGGUUACAUAGUUUGAGAAAAAAUGUUUGUUCAAGUUGAAAUUGACAUUGUAUCUAACUGUUUUAUAAAAUGGUAAGACGAAAGUUAUACAAAUUAAUAAUAUAAUUUUCUUGCUUGAAUGUGUCAUUACUCGGUUUAAUGACAUGUUAAUUAUAUUUAAAAACAGAUGUAUGCCCCCAUUAGAGUUAGAAAGUGACAAUUACUUGAUGUGGUGCCUAUUAUUUUUCUAGAAGAAUUAAUAUUAACAAAGAUUUUUAUAUUUAUUUUUGGCACGAGCAUAAAUAUUAAAUAUCAUAAUAGCAUUUAUAUUUUAAUGACUUUAGUUUUUAAUUUGACUAAAUUUUUAUAUAUAAUAUGGUAUAGUGGUUUAUUUGUUUUAUAGUUGUAUAAGUUAUUUUAAGGAGUUGAUACAUCUGCCACAACUGUAAUGUAGUUAUAUGUGUUACCAUUAGGAUAUACUCACCAUUACUCACCAUUAGAUAUAAUGUGUUAUCAAACUUAUUAGUGAUGUAUAUAUCCACUCAGGUUCUUCAGAUUAUUAUUUGAAAGUUAUAUAUUCAUAUGAUCAUUAUGUGAUAAUAAAUUAGAUAUGUCAAAAUACAUGAUGAGGAUCAUGAUAAUAGGGGUAAUUGAUCUAAGGUUUUGUGUUUAUGAUGUAUUUCAUUCUUUGGCGUGAUAGUAUAUAUAUAUAUUUGUAAUUGUGAUGUAUUUCCCACCAUAUGGAUAUCAUUAUUAUAAAAGUUAAACAAUAAUGGAAGUGGAAUAUACAACCAAAAAAAAUAUGUUUAAAUAUAUCUUUUAUCUAUUUAAUGGAAAACACAUGUUAAUUGAUGAUAUAAUUAAUCUUAAAUGAUGUAGCAUUACAAUACUUUGCUAUUAAACAUUGACUUAGCUAGAGAAAUCUUAACUACUACUUUGCUUUAAUAUUCUUCCCAAAAUAUUAAUAUUCUGUAAGAAAUAAAUUUUUAUAUUGAAUUCAUAUUAGUCCAUAUAAUUUGCCAAUUUGGUAUAGUGGCAAAUUCUUUUCUAGCAUAUGAGGUCUAACUAAUAUUUUCCGAAAUUAUCAGAAUAAAUGUAAAACUAAAGAACUCUUAAUUAGUGGCAUGGAUAACUUGUGUAGAAUAAACAUGCCGGAAAGCUAAUUUUAGUAGAUUUUUUUUUUUUUUUUAAGUUGUAGUGUUAACACAAUACUAAUGUAUAUAAUGAUAUCACUUUUCCAAAACAUGAAAACAUGAAUAACUAGUAUACCAUGCAUCCCAUAGUUUUUUUUAAUGUCAAUUAGAGUGAGAGAUAUUUUAAAAUUAAGUAGAAAACAUUUAUUUAGAGUUGCUGCUCAAAACCAAAAUGAACAAGUUUAGGUAGGUUAUUCCUCCUACUAGAUAGAGAAAACAAUUAGUGAAAACAAUUGUAAGAUUCAGUCAUUUACUAAACAUAUAAGUAAACAAUGUAUGCAUUGUUUGUACGUCGCUAUUAAACGUUAAAUUAAUAAAUCUGGUCAAGUAGUGAGACCCUAGUUUGUGAAAAAGUUUAAAUGAAUCGAUGAUUUGGUUACCUAUGUCACUAAAGUACACUUAUCUUAUGCUUUUUAGAUGCAAGGAUUUUGUCUGAUGUAGUGGCUGUUUGAUACAAGAUGUGAUUCACGAUGUUGAUGCUUUAUGUUUGUCUGUGUUUAGGUUCUAGAAGACUUAAUAACAAAUGAUUGGAGGAUGAAUGAAAGAGAAAAAUAACUAUUCUAAGUUUAGGAGAAUUGGAGCUUGACAAGAUAAAGGAAAAGAGAAAAAAGGAAAAAAGUUUUUCCUCAUGAUAUUUGGAAAAUUAUCUUAUGUGAUUUGGAAAUCAUGUUUGCUAUAUAUAGAGGUGUUGAACACGUCCUAGAGGAGCAAAAGAGCUGAAGCACAAAGAAUAAUCUUUGAGAGAUUUCUGGUUUUGUGUGCGACAUAGUUUCGCGGUUUGGUGCUUGUGUGAUCAAGUUCUUUGUUCGUCGCUCACUCCCCGAUGGGGGUUCUUUUCACCCUUUCGUGGUGUGACGUAUUUGUGAAGGUUGCUCCAGAGACUUGGGGUAUUGAAGUCUAGGCUCAGAGGGAGUUUAACACAAGGUUAGGUUAUCUUGGUUAAAUCUAGACUCAUAAGGAGUUUAGUUACUAAUAGAGAUUUAUCCUUAAGGUUUCAUGUUAUACCUCAAAGCGGUAGUCCAAGAAGGGUGUGCUUGAUUGUGUUAUAACACAUUCUAUUUAAAAGUAAUGAACUAAGUUGUGUUAUAGCACAUUCUAUUUAAAAUUAAUGAACUAAGUUGUCAACAUUACAAAUAAAAUAACUGUUUGGCAUUACUCUAUUUUACUAUAAAAAAUGACUUAUACACCACUACUGUAUCUUUUGUCAAACUAUUAAUUUUUCUCCAUAUAAUUUGGUAUAUAGGCAUGUUCGGUAGUUAGUCGCAGUCGUUGCGACUAUUCAUCACAUGAUUACUUUCAUAUUUCUUUUACUUCUUCAUCGUUUCUUUUAAUUUCUGUUACAGCGACCAAAAUUCUUGAAAUCUAAAAUUACCAGUGAAAACAGCAACACAAGCUUUUGAUUAGAAACAGUAACUAUUACGCGUAUUUUUUUGUUUAACAAAUCUGUCUAACAAAUCUUGUUUUCUUUUGUUUUUUUUUGGAUAUAAUUCCACUUGUUAGUUGUUACUUUGUUAAUCAGGUGAUUUUGAUGAAAUAUUUAAUAAACAUUGUUUCAUUAGUAUAUAUAUAUAUAUAUUGUGGUUUUACCUACACUACACUCCUCACCUAGCUACAACUCUCUAACUUUGUUUCUCUUUGUCUUUCAAACCACUAUGGAAGUCCAAACAACGGUCGAUAAUGAAAGUCUUGCGUUCAAAAAGUUGUCUCACUCUCAAUGGACUGAUUACUUCGUCUCUUUUCCCAUUGAUGAUUCGGUGAGGCAAUACAAUUAUAGUUGUAAUAUAUAAUAAACUAUUUUUCGUGCUUUUAUUGAAAUGUGUAUACCUUUAUAUAUAAGUUAGCCGAUAAAAGAAAAGAUUUAAGUAAGAGUUUACAUGAAAUUUGUUUUCGGCUAUAUAGGAACUUGACGCGAUUACAAGAGAGAUUGACAUACUCAAGCCUGAAGUUAGGGAGCUCUUAUCUUCCCAAGGUGACAAUGAAACAUCCAAGAGCAAAGUGCUUUUGAUCCAAUUGCUUCUUAGCCUUGGUCUUGCUUUUCAUUUUGAAAAUGAGAUUGAAAAUAUACUAGAAGAUGUUUUUCAAAGGAUUGAAGAUAUGUUUGGUGAUGAAAGGGACUUGUCUACAGUUUCGAUCAUGUUCUGCGUUUUUAGAACAUACGGACACAAUUUAUCAUCAAGUAAGCUAAAUUUUUCUAAUGCUUACUAUUUUUGUAUUUUAAAUCACUUCUAACGUCAAAUAUAUACAAUAAAUCUAUCUUAACAUUUUUGGAGACAUUUUUUGACCAAAAAUUGUUUUUGGCAACCUUUCUUCCAAAAAAACCAAACUAUAAAACAUUAGCAAAGACAAAUCAUUAAGGUUAACUUUGUCUUUUAAACAAACCAACCGGGUCAAAAAUUUUUUUAACACAACCUGGUUUCUAUGCUGAAAUUGGUUUCACACGAAAUGGGUAAUAGACUAAUAGACUAUCAAAUCUACAAUCAAUGGUUUGUAGCCCAUUAAGUCAUCAUGGAAGCCCACUUUGUUGCCUUAAGUCCAUCACCGUUACAUUAGCAAAUAUUCCUAAUAUGUAGAUUAUACACCUUACCUUAAUUAUCAUAAACAAUAACUAUAUAGGCCAUUAAUGAAAAAAUCAUGUUACAAAAUUUACUAUUUUCAAACUUUUUAUGUUUCUAUUUAUCAAUAAUAAAGAAAAAGGGAAACAAAGAUAAAGACUUAAAUAUCUAAUAAUAAACAACCAAAAUGAAAUUCAGCAAUUAAUAAUUUAAAAUAUUACUUUAAUGCGAUUAAAUAUUUUUAAAAAUUAAAUUUUUAAUACAAAAACGAAUUAGACAAACUGCUAAUAACUUAACAAAGAAAUUUCACUCUAAAAAAUAAAUAAAGUGGAUAAUAGAGAAGAGGGAACAUAUAAAUAAAAACUUAUAUAAUAUACAAAAAAUCAAUAAACAACAAAUGUAAUGUUACAAGAUGGAAAAUAACAAAAGGAAAUUCAAUAUACCUUUAUAAUAAGAUCAGAAAAUUUACAAAAAAUUUAAAAAAAAAGUCCAACUCUUUAUUGGUAUAUUAAAAUUUUGAUAGAGUGUUGAAAACUAAAGGGGUGUAUUGAAUCCUUUAUAGAAGUUGAAAACUAUUAAUUGAUUUGUAGUCUUUCACAUCCUUUAUAGACUUUUUAGUGAUCUCUUCCGCAUGUAGAUGUAUUCAAGAGAUUUAUAGGGGAUGAUGGGAAGUUUGAGAAAUCUCUUAUAGGAGAUACCAAAGGUAUAAUGAACUUGUAUGAAGCUGCUCACUUGGGAACAACGAAAGACUAUGUAUUGGACGAAGCAUUGAAGUUCACAUCAAACCAUUUGAAGUCUCUAUUGGCAGGUGGAACAUGCCAACCUCAUAUCACAAAGCUUAUAAGAAACAUGCUUUAUCUACCUCAACGUUGGAAUAUGGAAGCACUAAUUGCUAGAGAGUACAUUUCCUUCUACGAACAAGAAAAAGAUCAUGAUAAGACGCUACUCAGAUUAGCCAAGCUCAAUUUCAAGUUAUUGCAGCUGCAUUACAUCAAAGAACUCAAAACGUUUAUCAAGUAGGAUCAUAGUAGGGAAAACGGGGAAAAUCAUCCCAAACUAUUCCCCGAAAGCAUUUUCAUACCCAAACUCGCGUACUAUGAAUUUUACAACCCAAACCAGCUUUUAAUUCAAAUAACCAACCUGAACCACAUUAAUUUUGGUUGAUUUCAACCUCGACGUUAACAGUAUCCCUGCCCAUCUUGGUUUUUACAGAAACUUAAACUUGAUUGUCCAAAUCUUCAAGAUGGGCAGGGAUAUUGUUAACGUCGAGGUUGAAAUCGACCAAAAUUAUUGUGGUUCAGGUUGGUUAUUUGAAUUGAAAGCUGGUUUGGGUUGUAAAAUUCAGAGUACGCGAGUUUGGGUAUGAAAAUGCCUUCGGGGAAUAGUUUGGGUUGAUUUUCCCCGUUUUCCCGAUCAUAGUACAGCCAUUAUCUACUUUUGUUAACUUUAACAACUCUAUUAAUCUUGAAUAAUCCCUUUUCUGUUUUUUUUUUUUUUUUCGCCUGUUUUUAAAGAUGGUGGAUAGAGCUAGACCUAACAUCUAAGUGGCCAAGUCAAUUUAGAGAGAGGAUCGUGGAGGCUUGGCUAGCAGGAUUGAUGAUGUAUUACGAACCACAGUUUUCAGGUGGACGGGUCAUUGCCGCUAAGUUUAACUAUCUCCUUACCAUUAUAGAUGACGCUUGUGAUCACUACUUGACCAUUCCUGAUAUUACAAGACUUGUAGGUUGUGUGGAAAGGUACAUAACCUAAAUUUUUUACCUUAACUAUUUUAAGCUUAUUUUUCUAUAUAUAAAUGGUGCUUGCAUAGGUGAACUUGUUUUUUUCUAUAUUAUCUGCUAAUUAAGUAAGACAUAAAAAUUAAAAAACCAACUAGGUUCGGACCCGCACUACAGCGCGGGGGAAAUAAUUAUAUAUAUAUAUAUAAUUUUUAAUUGAUUAGAAUAUGUUAUAUUUUAAUUUUAUUGCAAUGCAUUCGAUUACGGUGAAUUAUAUAUUUGUAUAAUAAGUUUAAAUAAAAUAAUAAACGAAAAAGCGAGUAAAUAAUAAUAUAUUGAGUUUUGAUACAAAUUAAAUAACAAUAAAAAUUUAACAGCAUGAAAUAAUCUUUAUCGACAAAUUAUUCAAUUGACCAUUUCUGUAGUAGAAGUAGGAAUAUACAUAAAAAUUACAUACUUACAAUAUAUUUUAUGAAGAAUCAACUCGUAACAUAAUUCAUUUGGUAAAAAACAUUAUUCAUAACUCGCUUUACCAUUAUAAUUGUGAUUUUAACAAACUACCCGUGAACUNNNNNNNNNNNNNNNNNNNNNNNNNNNNNNNNNNNNNNNNNNNNNNNNNNNNNNNNNNNNNNNNNNNNNNNNNNNNNNNNNNNNNNNNNNNNNNNNNNNNAUCAAUAGUAAUUAUAUCACAAAAAAGUACUUUUAAUAUUCUAAAUUCUAAUUAUUUUAUAUAUUUCAACCUUUUAAUUAUAAUAUUUUAAAACUUUUUGAACUUUUAAAUACGCUCAUGUAACAAUGGUUUUAAUAUUGAUCAUACUGAUUUAAAUCAUUUUCUAAAAUAUUUAACCGAGUGUAGUUGAGUAUUAUAUGUCCGUUUUGAAACAUUCAAAUUGCAACAUAUGCAAAAAAGUAAAAUAAAUUUUUUAUUAAAUAUUUUUAUUAUAUAGUAUAAUAUCAUAAAUUAAAAAUAAUAUCAAAUAAAUGUUAAAGAAGAAUGAUAAUUGUUUUUAAUAUAUUAUAUUAAAUUAGUUAGAGAGAUAUUAGGAAAUCAUAAAAUUAGUUAUGGAAAUAAUAUAAUUUUAAAAUUAGAUAUGAAAAGUAUCCGAUGUAUGUAUCCAAACCCAUUUUAAUAUCCAACUUUGAAGUAUCCAAUUAUUAAAAUUGGGUUAAUUUUUAAUUUUGACCCGACCCGUAUUUUAUUUUGUACUUGUCUUUUACUAAUAUAGAGAUGUCCUAAAUAAUAUGUAGAUGGAGUCCUGAUGGCAUUGACACACUACAAGAUAUAUCGCGAAUUAUCUUCAAACUUGCGCUGGAUGUUUUUGAAGAUAUCGAAAGAGGAGUGAGGUCUGAAGGAUGCUCCUACCAUUCGAAGGAGAUGUUAGAAGAGGUGAUUAAUAUAAACCAUUUUUCUUACAGUUCAUAGAAAGAAAGUAAAAAACACAAAUCAUUAUUCACAAUACUUAUCGCUUGUAACAAUAUAUUUAUGUAUGGGAGUAAACAGUUCAAGAUACUCGUUAGGUCAAACCUUGAUCUUGUCAAAUGGGCACAAGGAGAAGAAGUGCCUAGCUUUGAAGAACAUGUAGAGGUUGGUGGGAUAGCACUUACCACAUAUGCAACGUUAAUGUAUUCUUUUGUCGGAAUGGGAGAGACUGUCGGGAAAGAAGCUUACGAGUGGGUAAGAUCAAGACCAAGCCUAAUCAAAUCUCUUGCAGCAAAGGGUCGUCUUAUGGACGACAUAACUGAUUUUGAGGUAAAUUUGGAAAAUAUUUGCUUUUUUUUUUGGUGUUACCUUUCCUAUAACUAAAGUGUUUUGGUAUUGUCAGAACGACAUGAGUAAUGGGUUUGCUGCGAAUGCGAUCAACUAUUAUAUGAAGCAAUUUGUAGUUACCAAGGAAGAAGCUAUUCUUGGGUGUGAAAGAAUGAUCGUAAACAUAAAUAAGACCAUAAAUGAGGAGCUACUGAAGACAACAUGCGUGCCACGUCGAGUUCUCAAGCAAGCACACAAUUUCGAACGAUUACUUGAACUCCUCUACACCAAAUCUGAUGAUAUUUACAAUUGUAGUGAAGGGAAACUCAAGGAUUAUAUCAUUACUCUGCUUAUAGAUCCAAUACGUCUCUGAAGACUUAGAAUUACAUCGGUUAUGAUUGAUGAAACAUAUACAGAGUGGGUUUAUUCAAGUUCAUAGUAAAAGCAAACACUGUACUCAUUUGAGGAAUUAAGAAAGGAAUUUACAGAGAGUAAGUAAUUCUUCGUCUUUCGCGUUAUCUUUCAGUUUAACAUUAAGAGUAUUUAUCUAUACACAAAAACUUACAAAACAUUACUCCAGUAACCAGUCUCUCCCUGUCUCACCACGCUCACGAUCUCAUUUCACUGCACAUUUUCAUACCAAUGAGGAAACAUUCGAUUAGCUUUCACAGUAACCUCAUGAGUGGCAAAAUGCUCUACUUCUACCUCAAAUAUAAAAACUAUGUUUUCUAUAAACUUGAUCCUGUUCACCUACCUGAGCAUAGUCUUAUAGAGACAAUAACACAAUACAAUUCCAGUUAGAUCACAUGAGGAAGGAAAGAAACAAGGUUACCUUACGAUGACAAUCCUGGUGUGAAAUCUUCUGGUUGCUAACAUUAACAUACACCUCACAGGACACUUUACCCUGCAGGAUAACAAUUUUAUCCAUGUAUUAAAACAUCAGAUUUUUCAAUCAUAACAUGGAAACUACAACAGUAUUGAAGAACCUAAUGUUUAAGCCAUACAAGUUAUUCAAAAAAAAAACUAUACAAAAUUAGGAACUCCUGAUAUUGUUUACUUCAAUUAAGUAUAGGUUCUCGCAGGAAGUGACAGUAGUUGUAAUAUAAUGUCACUCUUUCUCCUCCAUUACCCGAUAACAAUGUGAAACAUUAGGGCUAAUGAUCCCAAAUAACAUUUAGAGAGGCACAACCAAGACACAUAUCCCCUACCAAUCUCAGAAUGUAAAGAAAUCCCAACCAGCUCAAAAAAGGUACAACACAGCAGAGCAAACAUAUUCCAGAAGAAAACUACAAUCCCGGUCUACAAACUCGAAACUAAAAUCUUAAACACAAUCAAACCUUUCCAUCAAAUAGAGAUUCCUUCAAACCCAUCAUCAUUCACAGUUAAUGAAGCAGCCAAUACAAAUAUCCGCUACCAAUCUCAGAAUGUAAUGAAACCCCGACCAGCUCAAAAAAAGGUAGAACACAACAGAGCAAACAUAUUCCAGAAGAAAACUACAAUCCCGGUCUACAAACUCGAAACUAAAAUCUAAACAAAGCAACGCAAAAUCAAACCUUUCCAUCAAAUACAUAUUCCUUCAAACUCAUCAUCAUCAUCAUUCACAAGUAAUGAAACAACCAAUACAAAGUUACAACCUAAGACAAUUCAACAAGAACCACUGAUCGAAGAAUGGAAAAAAAAAACGAAUCCCUAUCCAAAAAACACCCUCAUGUUUCUUCACCAUUAAAACCACCAAAACCCUUAGUACAUACUACACUCAAUACCUUAUUCUCUAACUCAUCUAAAACCUUCAUGGGCUAGCAUAACACAAAUCUCUCCCCUAUCAAACCAUAGUUUCAAAAACCCUAACUUAGCUACAGAGAACUCAGCUACAGAUACUAUAGACAUACCUGAAUUGGGAUUUGAAACAAGAGCACACCAAGAUCACCUUUAACAGUAGCAAUCGUAUCAAAAGGAACAACACCUUUAGCCAAAUCACUAAUCAAAUAAAUCACAUCAUGAACAACCUCAAGACCAUCAAGCUCAAGAGUAGCAUCAAUAUAAGAGCUAUCACGAGCACGAAGAUGACCACCUUUAGACUUCACAACACCUAACUCUCUUCCUCUGUACCCAAUCGAAACAUCGAGCGAAUCGUAAUCAAGCGAGAAGAAAUCACGGUUCUCAACUUUGAUCGUGAGCGAAAACGAAAGAUCCAAAGCGAUUUUAUGCGAAUCGAGGACGCUUAUGUGGUUAAGAUCGAUUCGUGUGACAGUGAUGUCUGGAUCUGAAGGAUAAAGGAAGUAAACGGCGGCGGAGAGGAGGAGGAUUGCGGCGGUGAAGAGAAGAGAGCAACGGAGGUUACGGAGGAAUGAAGGACGACGGUGACGGCGGUAAGGUGUUAGAAGGAUUACGGUUUGAGAGGGUUGUGAUGAAGGAAGAGGUGUAUAAGGUACGCCGUAGUCUUGUUGCUUCGUCGACGCCAUUAUCGUUUUCAAAACGAAGAAGAUGGGUUCAGGGGAGGGUGUAAUGUCGAUUUUGGAAAGUUUUUGGGUUUAUUCGUGAGGUUUUUAGUUUUAUAGAGAAGAAGACUUUUUAGACUCUUCCACGUAUAGAGAACCGUUGGAUUAUAUCGACGCUAUCUAUAUAAACAUUUUUAAAAAUAUCUUUUGUGUUCUACCUUUUUAUUUUGUAAUAUUUGCAUAAUUAAACAUUUGCCAUUUGACUAAAUGAUAAAAGUUUAGAUAAAAUUUUUUAAUUAAAUCAUAAUAAAAUUAUAAAAUUAGAAAUUUGUAUUUAUUACAUUUAACAAAAUUUUCUGAAAUAUCUUUCUAAUAAACUGAAAAUUUCUUAAAUAUCUUUAAAUGAUCAUAUUUGUUUUUAAAUUUAUAUUCUUACAUAUAACAAAUGUAUGUAUUAAAGUAUUAUUGGUAAUUGUGUAGCACGGGUGAUGUGAUGGAACAAGUUAUAAAUUACAUAAUUAUGAUUAUAGAUGUUUUUAUGGGUUGUCUAUUAUAGUAUAACUUACAAAAUAUUUAUAUGAAAUUAUACUAUUUAAACAAAAAAUGUUUUUUCAACAUCAUUUCAUUAGUUUAAAUGUUAUAUUUAUUUAAUUAAGUUGAUCAAAUUACGAUUAUAUAAAAGCUAAAUUAUCAUACAAUAUUUCACGAGUUAAAUCAUAAAAUUAACGAUGAAAAUAUAGUAGUACACUUUUAUAUACCAAACAAAAUUAAUAAAAAAAUAUAUUUUAGAAUAUCAUCCCGCGGGUUAAAAUCUAAUUAUCGUUUCAAAAUCGAAGAAGAUGGGUUAGGAGGAGGGGGUGUAAUGUCGAUUUUGGAAAGUUUUGGGUUUUAUUCUUGAGAUUUUGAGUUUUGAUAGAGAAGAAGACUUUUUGGACUCUUCUUAUAAUAUUCUUUAUACGUGGAGCGGUGAGAACCGUUGGAUAAUAUCGACGGUGUAAAAUUUAUUUUGGAAAAUGAAAAAAAAAUAAAAAACAAAAUGUUGACAAUGGGAUUUGAACCCACGCCCUUUCGGACCAGAACCUUAAUCUGGCGCCUUAGACCAACUCGGCCAUAUCAACUAUGUUGCACAUUUUGCAACUUUAUAUUAUGUUUCUUGAUUAUAUUUUGAUAAAGAGUCUUAAUUAUUGCAUACAAAACCAAUGUACGUAAAAGCUCUACAAAUUAAUAUUCGAUAAAUUAAUAAAUAUUUUCGAUCUCAAAUUGGCCAAUUAUAAUUUAAGACACAACUCAAUAGUAUAAUAAAAUAAUAAUAUUAUAUUAAAAACUAUAUACAUAUUGAUUUUUUAGAGUUCAUUUCCAAUAUUUUUAUUUUAUAAAAAAAUUAUUGUUCUUUUCCAAGACAUGAUAGUUGUAAAUUUAUUUGUAAUUAAUUCUUAAAAAAUUAGUUAUAAGGAUUAAAUCAUAUCUUUAAAAUAUACAAUUCUAAAAACUUACUAAAUAAAAAAAACACCUUGCUACAAUUUAAUUAAUCGAUAAAUUAAUAAAUUUGUAUUGUCCCAACGUUGUUAAUUUAUAGAGGUUACUUGUAUAUUAAUAAAGUAUUAUAAUUUUCUUGGCGAGAUUAUGGUUCUUAUUCUGAAUUUUUUUUUUAAUAUCAUUAUUGAAGAUGAUAUCAUAAGGAUGGUAUGGGGAAAGGUUAGAAACAAAGAUCUAUUCAAAUUAUAUUUAUUUGAGUUCUCUCUACUAGUCUAGAGUCACUUGAAAGAACUAAUGGAAAAAAAACAAAAAAGAGAAAGAUCACUAUCAAAGCUACAACACACUUGCAGGAAACAUAUGAUAUCUUUGUUCUUAAUUCAAUAAAUCGGCCGUAAGUGUUUUAGUCUAUCACGAUUUACGAAUCCCACGAUACAACCAAUCCUGAAUUAUUACUCGAGCACACGAGUAGUAGACUCAAACGAACUAGAUCUACUACACUCUCAAAACUAUAAAACUAAGAACUUACUUAAACUAAGCAAGGGAGAAGAUAGAUUUAGAACUGAGGGGUUUAGAUACUUUUCGUUUGAGUGUGAAAAAUAAUUAGAGCCUCUUUCCCUUUAUAUAGUAGAAGGAGAUAGGCCUCCGGGAAAAUAUCCUCGACAUAUUCUAUAGAAUAUUCAAGGCAUAUUUUGCAAAAUAUUAUCGGCAUAUUCCUUGGAGUCCACACCAAACUUGGUAACAAAUGUACGGUAAAAGCUCAACAAAUUAAGAGGUCUCUUUUGCUAUCCAUCAUCAUCGAUAUUCGAUAAAUUAAUAAAUAUUUUUCGAUCUCAAACUGGCUAAUUAUAAUUUGAGACACAAUUCAAUAAUAUAAUAAAAUAAUAAUAUUAUAUUAAAAAUUAUAUACAUAUUAAAUUUUUAGAGUUCAUUUCCAAUAUUUUUAUUGUAUAAAAAAAUUAUUGUUCUUUUCCAAGACAUGGUAGUUGUAAUUAUAUUUGUAAUUAAUUCUAAAGAAAAUAGUUAUAAGGAUUAAAUCAUAUCUUUAAAAUAUACUAUAAAACAAUAAAUUUAUCGAACAAUAAAAUAAUAUAUAAAAUAUACUAUAAAACAAUAAAUCAUAUCUUACUAUAUUAAGAAAAUCUCUCUAUAAUUUAAUUUAUCGAUAAAUUAAUAAAUUUGUAUGGUCCCAACGUUAUUAAUUUAACGAGGAUUUACUUGUAUAUUAAUAAAGUAUUAUAAUUUUCUUGGCGAGAUUAUGGUUCUUAUUCUGAAUUUUUUUUUUAAUAUCAUUAUUGAAGAUGAUAUCAUAAGGAUGGUAUGGGGAAAGGUUAGAAACAAAGAUCUAUUCAAAUUAUAUUUAUUUGAGUUCUCUCUACUAGUCUAGAGUCACUUGAAAGAAUUGAUGGAAACGAAAAAGAGAAAGAUUACUAUCAAAGCACAACACACUUGCGGUGUUCCUUUGCAAAUUUUGGUAUCUUAUAUGUGUUGAUGGAGUUACUUCAUUUGGCAGGAAACUGGAGAGACCAAUGGAUAAUGCAGAGGUUGUGAUCAAGAAGCUCUUAAUAAGCUUAUGGCAUGCAUUUGCAAAAGAGCUAUGUACAACGAGAACUAUAGUAGUAAGGAACUAGGAAGCAUCUAUUUGAAAACACUAGUGGUGUCUAAGUUCUGCUCAAAGCUGAUCAACACUUUUACGCUUCUACACAAGUUCCCAACAACCCCAUAUUCACAUUGUCAGCAGAGAGUUCUCAAGCAUUACUCAAGCAGUAUACCGAGAAAAGUGAAACGGAAAUCGACAAAUUCUUCGUUGUAUUCAGCGUAAAGAAUCGCCCGGUCUGACUUUCUAACAUAAGCUUUCAAUGUUUAGAACAAGUCCAUUGGUUUCUCCUCUUCAAAAUCUUGUUUCUUGUUGCACAAGUGUUGUCAACGGUUUAGGUUUCCUUGCCAUACAAUGUUUCCUCAGGAAUGUGUCCAUUAAGGCAGUAUCCGAAGUAAAUAAACACCCUAGAAGAGUCAUCACCUACACUUAAACAAUCAGUGAAAGAAUAUAAUUCUUACUAGAACAGGAUACAAAGAUAUUGUCAAUGAAAGAUCAUGACAUACAACAACAUGUUCUUACAAAGAACCUGGAUGCUUCAGUGUAAUCUAUGUUCAGGUUUAGCUUUGUACUCUUUGCAUACAACAACAUGUUCUUACAAGCUUGAGUCUCGAAAUUAUCAACGUCCAUGUCUAAAAUACUUUUGUAAUGGAUGUAUAAGAGUUUUCAUGUACUAUAUAUAUAUAGUGACGCAACAUUAUAUGGAUUGUAAAGUAGCGUUUAUUUUUAAAAUGUUCAACUAAUCAUAUAAGAAAAAACUGUAUAGUAUAAAAAAUGUUAAAUGAAUAUAUAAUUUACAUAGAAACUUAAAAACAUCUGAUAAUAGAAAACAAAACAAAAACAUUCUCUAAUUAAGCUUAAACUGAAAAAACAAAAAAAAAUAAUUAAAAGAUCUAUAAACUUUGAACGAACAACAUUUGCUAAAUGUUAUAUUUUGACAGGGUAAUCUUUAUUAGCCAAAAAUAAUUGAUACUAUAUAGUAAGGUUAUAAAAGGAGAAACAAAAGCAUUGGUUCAUUCUUAUAAGCCUUCACCAUUGGAUGAUACAAAGUUAAAUGCUCACCAGAGGGAAUGCAACUUUGAAGGAGCUGUAGAACAUCUUAAUUGCAUCUUUGAUUUUAUAGACAACACUCAGAGAAAAUGCAAAAUCAGCAAAAGAUUCUCCCAACUUUGUUGGGGCACACACGAAAACAAUUUUAGUUUCAUGUUUUCCCAUCAUGUCUCCCAAUUACUUUGUUGUUGGUGUUGUGAGAGCUAGGGCCGGGGAUAUUCGUUUACCAUCUUUGUUCUUUUGAACCCUUUUUAAAUUUUUCGAAUAACUAAGAGGUUCUGUGCCGAAACCCAUACAUCCCCUCAAACCCGAGACCAGAACAUGUUCUUUGGAUACUUUAUACGUCAUGUUCCACAACAUUCAACUAAAAUUCCCUGCUCUUACCGCGCAAGCCGGUCUAACGUUUGUGAGUGCUCUAAUCGAACUUAACUUCUUAAACAUUUUUUGUAUGUUUUCGAUUCAUAAACGGAAAAAGAGAAGUUUAAUGGUAACGACGAAAAGGAUUAUAUAUUAUUAGUUAGGUUUAUACAUUUGUGUACCCUAAUCCGUGGCUUAUGUUGCUUCUGCUCCGGACCGGCUCUGAACCUGCAAAUAUUUUCAUCUAACUAUAUUGCACAACCAGCUAAUUCUUGGAUCAUAUCAAAAAUAUUACAAUGCUUAACUAGUUGACGAACAUCUUAAAAGACAGCUAUGAACUCUAGCUAGUUGAAGUUAUUGUCUUCUAUUAUACACCUAGGAUUGUAUAUAUGAAAUCUUUUGUUCUCCAAGUUGGGUUUUUUUAGUGGGUGUUGAUUGGUUUUAAAAAUAUAUUUUAACUUGGGCCUUUUGGUAUAAUUCGGUUGGCUAAAUUUGCUCUAUUUUGAUAAUAAUGCAAACAAAAAAAAAAGUAUCAAAAAUAAAAUUAAAGUGUGAUACCUAAAAAGGAAAGAAAAGUAUAAUCGUUAGUUAAGGAUUCGUUAUCAUUUAUCAAAUCCCAAUAGCCCAUAAUAAUCGAUAUAAAAAAGUAUAUUUUUGAAAAUAACAAAAACAAAAAGUAUAGUAAUUAAAUAAAAUUAAAACAUAACAUGCCCAUACCACUAACGUAUCUACCUAUAUAUAUACAAAAUAAACAUGUAACAUAUAUAUAUAUAUAUAUAUCUUUUAUUAUAUGUCAUGUGUCCAUCGCCAUCUCAUCUCUCUUUUUCCAACUCUUAUAUAGAGUUGCUUCUCUUUCCCCAAGUGUUUGUUUCAGAACCGCAAAACUCUUCUUCAAAAAUCCGAAAUCUUUGUUUUGAAAUCUCCCAAUUCUUGAGAGUUUAUUUUGUUUUUCUUAAUUACAAAAUCUUCAAGUUUUCUAUAUAAUAAAAAACUAUACAUAUUUUCGUCCUGAUUUAUAGGGAAUAUCCGAUCUUCUUCUUAUCUAUUUUGUGUUAUUUUCUUCUUUUUUUGUUUUUUGUUUUUUUUUGUAGAUAAGAUCAAUGAAACUCAUUCUCUCUUUUCACCCUUAUUCUCGGGACACAAAAGAGAGUAUGAUCUUUGUUUACCAAAUGGGUUUAAAAACCUAAUCCAAUCUCAGUCUCUUACUUCACUUUCUUGCAAAUCUUGAGAUCUCUUUUUUUCUUUUUUUUUUCUAUCUCUCUUUCUCUCUUCUAUGGAGUUUGUAACAGAAACGUUAGGCAAGAGAGUCCAUGAUCCAUAUGUGGAGGACUCAAGGUGCAUAUUGAUCCCUGGACCAAUCAUUGUCGGUUCAGGACCGUCAGGUUUGGCCACGGCGGCUUGUUUGAAGUCUAGAGGCGUCUCUAGUCUGAUACUAGAACGUUCCACUUGUGUAGCAUCAUUAUGGCAGCUGAAAACAUAUGAUCGUCUCCGACUUCAUCUCCCUAAACAUUUCUGUGAGCUUCCAUUGAUGCCUUUCCCUUCAAGUUACCCUACUUACCCUACAAAGCAACAGUUUGUCCAAUACCUUGAGUCCUACGCAGAACAUUUUGGCCUUAAGCCUGUUUUUAACCAGACCGUGGAGGAGGCCAAGUUUGAUAGGCGUUGUGGGUUGUGGAGGGUUAGGACUGUUGGAGGGAAGAAGGAUGAGACAACUGAGUAUGUUUCACGGUGGCUUGUUGUGGCGACUGGUGAGAAUGCUGAGGAGGUUAUGCCGGAGAUUGAUGGGAUUGUGGAUUUUGCCGGGCCAAUCCUACACACUAGCUCUUAUAAAAGUGGUGAAAUGUUUAGAGAGAAGAAGGUUUUGGUCGUGGGAUGUGGAAACUCGGGCAUGGAGGUUUCUUUAGAUCUUUGCAACUUCAAUGCUCAUCCUUCUCUUGUGGUUCGUGACUCGGUGAGGAUUAUAAUAUACAAUCUUUUCUUUAUUAUACGUAAGAUCUAGAUGAUGCUAGAUGUUUAAUAUAGUUGCUCGUAUAUUGUUACUCUUUAUAGUCUUUUAGGGUUUAACGUACUUACGAGUAACCAAUGUUUACAUUUUUAUUACAUUCCAAUAAGGUAUGCAUGUGAUUACAUGAUUUGGAUCUUUUGUAAUUGUAUGAGGCUAAUGGAGUUUUUUUGACUAAUGCUAUUAGGUGCAUGUAUUACCUCAAGAAAUGCUAGGUAUGUCGACUUUUGGGAUAUCCACGAGCCUUCUCAAGUGGUUCCCAGUGCAAGUAGUGGACAGGUUCUUAUUACGUAUGUCAAGAUUGGUUCUUGGUGACACGGAUCGGUUAGGGCUAGUUCGACCAAAACUAGGCCCUCUUGAACGCAAGAUCAAGUGUGGUAAGACUCCUGUUUUGGAUGUUGGCACUCUUGCCAAAAUCAGAAGUGGUCACAUCAAGGUUCAUUACUUAAUUAAGUCUUUCUCAAAACUAUAUAUUAUACACAAACGUGACAUUAUGGUAGACUGAUGAUUUUUUAUUUGAUUUAUAUAUAGGUGUAUCCGGAGUUGAAACGGGUAAUGCAACAUUCGGUAGAGUUUGUUGAUGGGAGAGUGGAUAACUUUGACGCCAUUAUACUCGCUACGGGUUACAAAAGCAACGUACCCAUGUGGCUAAAGGUGUGUACCAUGAGCGAUGAUGCGUCUACAUCUUCAUUAUUCUUAAUUCCUUGAUAUUGACAUAUCACAAACCAUUUUUACGUUUCAAUAGUUGAAUUAACUUUGUUUUGACUUUGAAUUGUCUUUUCUCUUUUGUAUUAGGGAAUGAACAUGUUUUGUGAGAAAGAUGGAUUUCCGCGUAAACCCUUUCCGAACGGUUGGAAAGGCGAAAGCGGAUUGUAUGCGGUCGGAUUCACAAAGCUUGGACUGCUUGGUGCAGCCAUUGAUGCCAAGAAGAUAGCUGAGGAUAUUGAGGUUCAACGCAAUUUGUUACCAAUAUUGGCUCAUCCUCAACAUUGUUAACCUGAUGAGAUUUGGCAAAGUAUGGAUUGGAUUAUCUUAAAAGUAGAGAGGGUAGUAGUGGUGCAUUAAUGUAAUGUUCCUAACUCUUUAAUUGUGACAUAUGAGAGUUAGAAAGAAGGGUUAGAUCAAUGUUAGGUCAAAAGAUUUUUGGAUUUUUAGGAAGGAAAUAUUAGAUUGAUGGUCCACUUCUGUAUAUAUUUAGUUGGUUUAAAUGUUUAAUGUAUGUUUUGCUGUUUUAUUUCGUUCCUGUAAAUAAGAUAAAAUAUUUCAAUAUGAUAAUUUGAAGUUAUAAGUAAUGGAAGCUUUUACUCAAAUACUCCUUUUUAUAAAUUAUAGUUGAGGAGUUUGAUUGAGUCUUUAGAUUAGAAAUUCAGCUUUAUGUUAUUGUGCAUGUUUUAAAGUUCAUGUGAUUAAUGUUAGUGGGUGGUGGUGGUGAUGUUGUGGAGGGUGGGGGAGCUCUCAUAGACAUUUAAUUUAUAUGGAAAAAUUUUUGCUUUAGAUUUUAUUAUGAUAUAUUAUUGAUAUAUAGAUUAGAGUUUUCAAACGAACAAAAAUUUAAAUAAUUUUCUUUCUUUUAAUAUCAUGUUGUUUCAUCCAUGAUAUAGUUUCAUUUAAACACGCAGAACAUAUUUUUCAAAUCGCGGUGAAUAAAAGUGGUAAUUAAACAAAUAUUUUGAAAUAAAUUUUUGAUUUGAUUAUGCAUUAGUUAAGUUUGAUGGAUCAAAAGAACUAAGCUCGUCAAAAAAAAGGAAAUAUAAAACGAUCAUAUAUUGUUCAAUCGGAAAUUUGUCGAAAAUAUGUUGGAAUGAUCUGCUUAGAAAUUUCCGGCCGGCGAUCGUAUUUAUCAUAAAUGGUGGUCAAAAGUUGCUAUGUUUUCGAUCCGAAAUUCGUAUUUAACCAACAUUUAUGUAACAUUACAUCAAACUGGUUUGACCCCAUAGCAUCGUAAAGAAAAGCUGUAAAAAGAUGAGUACAUAUAUGAAAGAAAUGCAUGCUUUCCUUUCCUUAUUUGCUGAAGAUUCGAUUGGGCCCUUCGCUAUGGACCAAUACUUAUUUUAUGGUUGAAUAUAUGGACCAAUAACAAUUACUUUAUUCUAAAAUAAAAUAUAUAAGAAAAUAUAUCAUCCUACUUACACGAAUUAUUAUUGACAUGUGCCAAAUUUUUUAUACAUACAAAAGUUUUUUUAUUCUACUAGUGAUCAUUACAUCAUUAGUGACUCCGCUAAAUAUAAACAAAAUUGUUUAGUUUUAUAGUUUGAUUAACUUUUCCACAGUCUCAUAUUAAUUUUAUAAAAUAGUUUUUUUUUUAAUUAUUUUGGUGUAAAUGUUAUAUAAAAUAGUUUCUUUUGAUCAAAAAGCUUAUAUAUUUAAUUAUUAAAAUAACUAAUUUAUGUAUGUGAAUAAGAAUAACCAACCAAAGUACUUAAAUUAAAAGAGUAUGUACAAAAAAUAUGUUGAUAUAUGAUACACAUCAUUGUUUUUUUUUUGUGACAUCAUUUGAUACGCAUCAUCUAAUCUACAUAUAUUUGCAAUCAUAUCCCAAUUGCAAUAUUAAUUUCAUAUAACUUUUCUUUAACAUCACCACAACUAUAUUGAAGAAGAAGCCAAAAGUAUUAGUCAUUAUAUAUAUAUAUAUAUCUACUAGUAAAAAUAAUCUUUAUACCCACUUAAAUUUUUGCGAUUGCGCUUUAAUAUUCAUGGCUAUAGCGUCGUAACUUAAAUAAUUUGUGAUUUGUAGGCUAAAUGUAUUUAUAGCCACGAAUAUUAAGGCGUAGCCACGAACAUGAAAAUGUCUAUCGAGAUUUUAUGUAGUAGUUUUUGAUACACAACACAUCUAAGUUUGUAUGCGUGUAGCUAGAUAGUGUGAUUAUACGUGAAAGACAUGUUAAACGACGUAAAUAGCAUGUAAUGCAUGUAAUGAUCUUUCUAGUAUAUACAUGUAAUGCAUUCAUUUUGUUCAUUGGAUUUAAUUUGACUUGGAAUCAAUGUGAAUUGUACAUAAUACAUCCAAAUAAUUUAAAGUAUAUGUACGUGAACAUCUAAAUCACUCGACUGGACCACAAUUUUAUAGUCCAUGCAUUUCCGGCCACAGCUAUCUUUGGAUGGGGUCUAAUGUAUUUAAGCGAUCUUGUUGUGAAAUGUAAACUCAACUUGAAGUCAUUCUCACGUUAGAGAUUUGUAUAGUGAAUUUUUUCGCAGGUUUGUUCAAAGUUUUCUAGCUUUGUUCUUAUCUCUAGUAGUUCUCUUGACUGUCAACUUAGACUAAUCGAACAGAACUCUCAAAUUAGACUCUCUUCGAACUAAGGUGUCACCUCUUAGCAUUUAAUUUAUUUUUUUCCUUAUGACAUUAGACAUUAGACCAUCAGUAAUAAUGAUGGCCUUAGACUUUUUGUGUAACGGAUAAAAAUAAUUUUAUAGAAAUGAUAGUAGCAUGUCGAAAACGUAAUCCAAAGUCUCAUAUAAAAUAGAGGAGUCACUUAACUCAUUAUCCAAUUAGUUUUUAGUUAGAAACUUAAGAACUAAAAUAUACUUUGGAUCCUAAGUUGAUAUCGAACUAGAAUAUGAUUCAGCGAUAACAUAAGAACCCUAACUAGUAAAAAAAUUCGUUAUAGCCACUUGGCUAUUCGUGGCUGUGCCUUAAAUUUCGUGGCUAUAGCGUCGUAGCUUAAAAAAAUUCGUGACUUUUUUUAAAAAAAUCAUCUUAUAGUUUCGCGACUGCCAAGUGGCUAUAUGUAUUUUUUUACUAGUAAAAUUUCUAAGUUAUCGCUGAAUUCACAAUCAUAAAGUGAGAUCGCCCUUCCAUAGAUUUUUCUCGCUUUAUACUUUGGUUGAGGACUAUCAAUAUUUUCUAUUAGGCUAUAAUACCAUAAACCAGUUGAUGAUGUUUUUAAAAAUAUUUCUUGUGUAUUCCCCAAUUUUGUGAACUUUAAAAUUUAUAUAUACAAGUGAAAUAUAUCUCAAUGAUCACAUUAUUUAGAUCCUAAGAAUUUGAUAAAUAACAAGUAGAACGUACAAAACAAUUGUGAUUACUGUGAAAUAAAUAAAUUAAUCAGAUAUGUAUCGUAAUUAUGCAAACCAUCCAUGAGGUGUAUAUGGAAGAAAAAUCAAACUUUGGUUAUUAUAUUCUUCUAGAAUUUUGAAUGGUCAAAAUAAUUUUUAAAUCUUGGCCGAUAAAAUUAACAUGUAUGUAUAUUUUCCAAAUUUUUUAAGUUUUACAUUAAAACAAAAUUUCACCACUAAUGAACCCAUUGUACGUUCUCAUAUAUAACUUUUAGUAGAAAUUAAUAUGGUUGGUACCCUUAAAAUAGAUAAAAAAAAAUAUAAGUAUACAAGUUAAAAUAAAAGGACUGCUGGUUCCGAUGUCCCUUUGGAACGAAAUCAUAUAAUCUGUUUUGGUUUUAGAUUUGAGAAGAUGUACGGACUUAAGCUUAAAACUUUUUUAAUUUUUCGGAAAAAAUGUAUUUGGUAUAGUAUAUAUAACUCAAAACAUUUUAUUUUCAAAAGUGGUCAAAAUAUAUAUUUUUAAAAAUCUUGGUCAAUAAAAUUAGCACGUACGUAUAUUUUCCCAUUUUUUUUAGUUUUACAUAAAACGAAAUUGCACCAUUAACAACCCAUUGUUAUGCUUUUAAAGUUAAACUUUUAGUAUAUAAAUCAAUAUAGUUGGUUGAAAUAAAUAAGCAAUUUUGUAAAGUAUACAAGUUAAAAUUAAAGGGUGGCCCAUAAAAUCACAUAAUAUGCCAAAAUGCAUCGAGUCGCAUUAAAUCUUCUUCUAAACGUUGCUCUCAUAUUGAUUGCUCCACUUUUGUUCUUUUUGUUGUAUAUACGAAUAAGAAUAUAUCAGAAUGUUUUUAUUUUCCUUUUUGGUCGACACUAUUGUUUAUUCUGUCAAGUUGCAUGUAAUUUUAUUUAGGUGACAUCAACUUGCAUGUACACUAAGUAUUAUAUAUAUUUAUAAUGCAUGGAUCAUCAUAAUAUAAUUCCUUGUUUGCGAGAUAUAUAAUAAAAUCCACACCAAUAGGUUGUACAUUACAAACGUUAGAUACUUUAGUUAUCUCUUGGAAUUUGAUACCAUAUAAUACUUAACAAUUUGUAUCCACAUAUCAGCGUUAUUAUAUCUUCCAUGCGUUAGAAUUAGGUUUUGGUUAAUAAAUACUUAUAAAGAUUAUGAAUCCGAUUGGUAACGUAGUCAAAACUGUAAGUUGGAGAGGUAAGAUUUUACGGAAUAGUGUAAAGUUAUAAAGAAGAAUCUAUAUAUAUAAAGUUAACAUUUUCUCUCUUCUCCUUAAGCCACAUCAUCAUCCACCUCAUUUUAUUAUUUAAUUUUUAAAAUUAAUUAUACCAUUUUAUCAUUUAAUAUUAAUAUUUAAACUUAUGUAAAUAAGUUUUUCCAAAAUGAAUAUGAAAGGUCUUUUUUUAUAUUAUACAUUAUAAACUAAAAAAGAUAAUUGAUUAAGAGUUUAAAAAAACUUACUAAUUAUCGAUUAUACUAACAAAUAUAUAAAUAAUAGAUUAUAUUUUUAGUGAAUGUUUAAAAUAUAUAUAUGAUUAUAUUUACACAAUGUAAACCUAAAUAUAAUGGGAUUUAACGGGAAUAAAACAAAAAGUGAGAAAUUUUGAGAAUAUAAAUCUAUCUAAUUUAUGUCUCAAAUAAUUUUCUAACAUAAGUGAGAUAGAUCGGACCGAAACAUGAAUUCUUAUUUUUUAUAAACAUAUAAAAAGGUAAAAAUAAAAAUAAUAUUUCUUUAAAAGUUUCAAAUAUGAAUUUAANNNNNNNNNNNNNNNNNNNNNNNNNNNNNNNNNNNNNNNNNNNNNNNNNNNNNNNNNNNNNNNNNNNNNNNNNNNNNNNNNNNNNNNNNNNNNNNNNNNNUGUUAAACUAAUAAACAAAAUAAAAAUUAACUAUAUUUCAUAAAAUUGAAAAUUAAAAUAAAAUAUUAUUAAAUGAAAUAAAUUAAAUAUAAAGUAAAUUAUACUAAUAUGUUAAAUUUAAAAUUUUUCCAUAUGAAAAAACAAAAAAAUAUAUAAAACAUAAAAUCAGAAAAAUAUAUAAUAGUAUAUAAAUGAUCAUUACGAGAUAUAAAGUACGACAAAUCCAAAAAAGGAAAAUGUAAAACAAAACAUAAUAAAUUAUGACAAUAUAUAAAGAGAUAAUGUAAACAAUUAAAAAUACAACAAUCCGCCCGAAACCCACAAAUCAUGUUCAAAUUUCAUGCCAACAUAUAAAAGGGCCCAAAAUAUUAACAUCUAGAUCUAUAUUUGGUAAAAACCUUAAUAGCACACGUUUCUCAAUGAUUCUCAACCGCACUUCCAUUUACACCUACACUUCGACUUAUACUAUACAGACUUAAUUUCUCAGCGACUAAUGAAGCUAAAACUCAAUAGCUUUUCUAUACAAACACAAUUUAAGUUUAAAAGAAUAAAGUAUGGUAUAGUGAAAAAAAUAAGUAGAAAAUAAAAUACGAACCAAUUACUCAUAAACAACAUAUAAUAAACUCCCGCGCGUAGCGCGGGCAACCGACUAGUGGUAUAUAAAUAAAAGUUUUUGGAUAACGCUUUUGUGACUGAUAAAAAUUAAACUGUACUACUUUGUACAACUUUCCUUACUCCACCAAUCAAACCCUAUAUUACGUAUAUUUUGACUUAGUAAGAUUAAUUUACAAUGUUUUUAGAAAUAAAUGUAUGGUUGCAAAAAUUGAUGAUUUGGAGAGUUUAUGAUUAUAAUUAAACGUUAUAUCUUCAUAUCUUGGAUAUGAAUAUGAUGCAAAGGGUGUCUUUGUAUUUACGGUUUGUAAGAUCGCAAAUAGAAGAUAAUCUAUCUUUAACUUAUUGUUUAAUAGAAGAAGAGAUUAGAAGACAAAAGACUAAUUAAGUUUUGUCGGCAUAAAAACAAAGAGAGUCAAAAAGAGAAAAUUGACUCAAGGUCGGAGUCAAAAGAGAAUGUCAAAGGAGCAAUGUCAUUGGAUAGGUUUUGUAAUGAGAAUGGUCCAAGAGAGGAGGGAGAGGCUUGAUGAAAUGGUCCAAGAGAGGAGGGAGCCUUGAUGUUUAGGUGUUGCAUGGCAUCUCUAGUCCGUACUUGCCUCACAUGCAUAUGGACCAUUCGCAUUAUGGUUUUUUCUUUUUCUUCUUGGUUUUCAAAUCUUUAAGUCCUUUUAUUGUUCGUGGUCCAUCUCCAAAUUUGUUUUGGUUAUUAGGCCGUCCGAUUAGUUUAUGAAUAGAUGUUGCAUACAUAUAGAUGCACAUACAAACAAACCAAAUAUAUAUUGAGAAGCUCAAGUAAACAAUUUAAUUAUCUUUGUGAUGAGCCAAGUUUGCUACGAUAUGUAUUUGUGUCAAAGGCUCAAAGUUAAAGAAGAUUAUAGUUUUUAGUUUUAAGUUUAGUUGGGCCGAUCAUGUUGAAAACCACAACUUAGAAACACCAAUUAAAUUUGUAACUAUCAUGUUUAUCGAGUUAGGGAGUCCAAUAUAUUAUCAUGUAACACCAAGAUUUUAAUUUUCGGUUUUUUUUUAAUCAAUUUUAACAAAAAUAGUAAGUAAAAAGACGCUUUAUACAAAAUGGUAGACAAAAUAAAUAAAUAAAUAUAACUUUACUACAUUUGCCGACAAAAAAUAAAAAACAAAUUUACUUCAUUUACUUGUAUAACCGAUUGAGAAAAUUGGAAAUAUGUACAGUUUAUGAUAUAUGUAUCCCAAAUUUUUAUUUUAAUUCUCUACUUAUGCUGCUACUGGCCUUAAGAUGCAUGGACAUGUACUCAAUAGUAUUAAAUGCUUUCCAAAUGAUAUACAUGAAACUGGAGAUUAGCAUAGCCAAGCUAAGGUUAAUUCAGAUGAUAACAAAUGCAAAUACCAAGUGUUAAUAGCUCAAUUGGUAAAAAUCUCUGGCAAAAGCUUAGAGGUCGCCGGUUUGAGUAUCUAUUGGGACGAAACCAAAUAAUAUGCUCUGGUUUCAGACAUGAGGGGAUGUAUGAGAUUCGGUCGAAAACCUCUUUGAUUAUUCAAAAGAAAAAAACAAAUGCAAAUACCUUUUAUAUGCAGUUUAAGAAAGUUUCCAAUAUAUAAUAAGAUUUUAGAUGUUUGUUUUUGUCUUUUUCUAAUCGCAUACAAUGGAGAUUUUGGUAGUUUCUUUUGGUAGAAGGCCAUCAGUUUAUGUUUCUAGAACGUUUGUCAUUUAAAGUAUUCAUAGUCGUGAACUCGUGAUCCAUGAUUAGAGUUACUCAAACAUACCAAUGGGGUGGUGGCCUUUGUGGUAGUACACUAGAAAGGAGUUGGUUCCUUUGUUCUCCAUGUACAUUUCCUCUUUGGCAUGAAGAUGCGUUCUUUAAAUUGGAAUUGAUUAAGUUCUGUCUCCGGGUACCAACAUAGAUUAUGGACCAGAAGUCCGUAACUCUCAUUGUUUAUAUAAUUAAAGAAGAAUUUUGUAAAAAAAAACUCUCCAAAUAGUCAACUUUUACAAUUUUACUUUCCACUUUUUAAAAAUGCAAAAUAACUUUGCAAAGUCAAAAUGAAUACAAAAUAUAAUCCAUCGUCAUUACCGUCAAAAUUUUAAAAUGCAAUUUUUCAAUCUGCGAGUUUUUAUUAUGCAGCUUACGCAAUUAUGUGAUCAUGCGUGGUUACCAAUCGAAGUUUACAUCGAAUUCCUGACGAUGAAGAGACUAAAUCCACAUUUUUAAUUUUGAAAAUAUAAUUUAUAUGAACGUAAAAACGUAUAAAAGAUACAUAUAAAGGUUAUAUUGCGUAUUAUUUUUGACUUCCCACUAUUUUAAAGAUGAAGAGUACUAAAAACGCAAAAAAAAUGCGAUUUACAUAUUUUUUGCACAAAACCCUAGAAAAAACUACAAAGCAUAAUAAGAUACGCAUUGUUUCUUUUCUGAUUUGUAAUCGCCUAACACAGUACUUCAAACUGUAUAGACAUACAUAAUUGGGAUGAUUACUCCCAAAAUAUAUAACUUACAUUUAACUAAAAAAAGGAAGAAACCCUUCUCAAAAGUGCAUUUUAAUAAAAUUUUAUAAAAACUAACCGUACUGAUCCCAUUUACAAGAAACCAACGAUCAGCAUAUUAGAUGUUCACUAGAUCUUUGGACCCGAUCAGUAUCAUGAAAGAAGUUAACAUGUGUAAGAAAAAGUGAGACACUUUAUUUUGCUUUUGGAAAAUGCAUGCGCUUUUAUAACACAUACGAGAGUGAGAAAGGUCACACACAUAUAUGAGAAGCACUCCUCAUGGCACGCUUGCUUAGUCUAUAUAUGUUCACUUUUUGCCAACACAAUGUCACGUCCCAUUUCUUGUAAGAAAAUUACACCAUCUUUACAAACGAUUGGUCCGACUGAUCUCUCGAAUCUUAAUUCAAAAUAAAGUAAAGAUCGUGUUAGCAAUUUUUCACCAUCUAUUUGAGCAUAUGCACAUAAGUUGGUGAUUGGUGACACCAAAUUUUUCUAAAUUUAGUCAUCAACCGUCAUGAUAUAUAAUGUAUAGAAAUGUGAUAUCCAAUAAGAAAAAAGGUUACAUUACCUUUUGAUGCAACCUAUAGAAGAGUUCUAUGGUAUGAGAUGAAAGCACGAGAUAUAUAUAGGAACAUCUAUUGUGGGAACAAAGUAAUGUGUGUGAUCUCUUAAUAGAUUUGUCUUGCUUCUAGGUUUACUCAUUGACAAAGGAGGAGAUGGGCCACGCCAUUUGCAACUUGACUGUUUCAAUGAUUAGAUAACAUCAUUAAUCACCACAUGCAUGUCAAAAGGAUUCCAAGAUCUUAGGGGCCAGCUUUCUCUUUUACUCUCUCUCUCACUCUUCCUCAUAGUUUAGUAGAUCUAAGUGGACACUAGCUAGGUUUAAAUAAUGUAACAAAGCUUUAAGAUUAAUUAGCAUUUCUUAAUAAGUUUAAAAAAUAUAUGAAGGAUUCUUACAGAAAAUGGCAAAUUUUUAUGAAUGUAUCAUUUUUGCUUAAAUCUUAUGAAUUUGCCAAUUUGAAAUUUAAUUGCUAAAAACGUAUUUUAUAGUAAAUACUAAAACCUAAAAAAAAAUUAGAACAGACUAAACCUAAACAUAACAAAUAAAACGCAUCUUUAAUCACAUUUUUCUAAAAUCCAUAAAAUUACAAAAAAUGACAAAACCAAAAUUUUGGUUACAAGCAAAUUCAUAAUUGAUUCUAAUAUAUAUAUAUACACACAUAUGAUCUAUAUUUUGGCCACUAUUGAUGGUCGGUUUAAAUUUAACUUGGAAAACGAAAAAAAAAUAUUCAUGCCACACUUGUUGAGUGAGUGAGUGAUACAGGAACAAUCAUGGCCUUAAAUGUGUUUUCGCACCCCCAAAAACCAUUCAUGUUUUCGACAAAAACAAUUUGGGACAUUUAUAAUCGUAGGACAUGAUUAUAGUGGAGAAAUAAAAAUUGAGAUCUGUAUAUAUGUAUAAAGAAAGAAUCUAUUUGAUACUGUAUGUACUCUUGACCAAUAGCAAAAGAAUCUUUUACAACUUUAGCUAAAAAUAUCAACUUGGUUUAUACUUUUACUAGCAUUUUGAAAAUGUAGACAGAAUCCCACUAAUGUCCCAACUAAAUAGAAAAACACAAAUGAUAGGAAAGGGAAAUGAUUAAAAUCAAUGUCUACUAAUCAUUUUACUUGCUCGCUAUUGUUUUCAUUGAAAAAAAUUGUAGCAUUCUUGAACAUCUUAUUGGCAAGAUGCUAAUAUGUAGUUUCUGCAUUUUUUUAGUCCAAAAGGCAUCAAAAUAUAACAAUAAAUACCUCUAUAGGUUAUAUUAGGUCUUCUUCUGAUCCUCCAAGAUCAUUUUUAAGUGACUACACCUAGAAAAGGCAUCCAAGAAACUUAAUAGCUCGUGACCCAUGUCGCCUCUACCAAUGGAUCGAUGUGAGGGUGUGCGUAACUAUCUUUCAGGAAAGCCUUGUCAAUGUCCGUGAAGUCCACACAGACUCUCCACUUGCCAUUCUUUUUCUUAACUAACACUAGAUUUUCUAACCAAUUAAGAUAUUUAACUUCGCGAAUUGACCUGACUUUUAGUAAGUUUUCCACUUUGUGUUUAACUGCCUUCGUUCGGGUACAAAUGUUGAAAUGUUCCUAUUUGAAAUCUACUUGGCCUUCUUUGGGAUCUUUAGUUGAGCUGGAUCCCAUAUUUUGGCUCUCCCUUCAGUCUCGAGCUCUCGUUCAGCUCCUCCCCAUCUCAACGAGCUAUUUAGUUUUCUUCUUAUCAUCCAGCUCGGGAUAUUUUCCUUUUGGAACCCCAUUUAUUAGUUUUAGUAUGAUAUGUCCACUCUAAUUAAUAUGGAUCCAAACUAUCAGUUCAAGAUCUGACGUCCAUAAAGCACUGAUCUUAGAGAAUACAAGCGUUAAUUAUGUAACCUAAACUUCUCGAACCUAGUUUUUACUGGAGGAUCUUGCGUCGUUACAUGUGUUGUUUCCUCGCAUCAGUUGAGUUAUGGAGCAUUUUGAACUUAUAAAACUAGCUAGGUAGCUCAACUUACUGGGAAACUUUCUUUUUAUGAUAUAUAUGUUUCUUUCUCAUUCGUGUCCCGUAGUUGAGAACCUAAAUCCAAUUCAUUAUAGCCAUAUCAUCUAUGACUUAAUUUGCUUAGAACCUUGACACCUUAUCAUCAUUGCCCACUUUUUAUAUAUUGCGUACAACCUCAUUUACUCUUUUUUUUAAUAGCUAAGAGGUUCUGGGCCGCAGUCCAUACAUCCUCUAAGGCCCAAGACCAAAUCAUGUUAUAUGGUCUCGUCCCAAGCGCUACUCGAACAAGCGACCUCUAGGUUUUUUGCCAUAAAUAUUUACCAAUUGAGUUAUUAGCACUUGAUUAUUUUAUUAUUUGAAUACUUAUAGGAAAACCCAAAACCAAAAGUUUUUAUGGUUAUGUCUUCUUAGUAAGAAUUUUUUUUCUGAAUUCAUUCGCGUAGCUAUUCUCUCAGCUAUCGGAUCUAUCCUAAAAUACUUCAACCAAUUAACUGUGCCCUUGCAGUUUUCGCGUGGUCUUAUAGGUAGAAGACUGAAGUGAAAACCACAUAUAUCAUAAAUACUUCUUAAUAUAUAUAUAUAUAGGGGGUCAGUGAAAAUGCUAAAGGUAAUUUUCAAAUUAGAAAAUGUAAGAAAGUCUUUUUAUUCGCCUCGGUGGCAGGCGGGAGAAAACAUUGAAUAAUAACAAAAAUUUGUUAUAAAAUAAAUAUUCUCAAUUACACAAGAUUUCAACUUUGUAGACAUCAACGAAUAAAUAACAUAUGAUUUUUAUUUUCUGGAUUUCGAAAUUAUUUAUUUCAACAAAUAAACCAUCCCUUAAACUAUGGAUACAUGCAAUUUAGUUUAGGCUUUGUAUAAUAACAUAAUUUAUAUUUGGAUUGAUCUUAUUGGCUAACCAUAAAUUUCGACACUAAAAUUUUAAUCCGUCAUGGUUGCAUCUAAAUUUAGUUAAAACUUAAAAGUAUAAAAAUAGUUAUAUUUACUUUAUAGUAACACUAUAAAAAGUGUCUACCACCAAUUUUUUUUUAUAAAUAACAAAAAAAAUUGAUGUUUUUCUUACUUCAACAAUUACUUUUCAAUCCAAAAUAUGAAUCGCCUAACAUUUUUCAUAUUAGUUAUUGCAAUUUAUUUUGGUGUAAAUGAAGCUUGCAAGUUAAAUGAGCUAGUAUUUAAGAACGAACUCGGUGUUGGUACACGUCUCCGAUAUUAUUGCAGAAAUGGUGAUUAUAAUUCAGGAUUUCGAUACAUUAACCACAAUGCUAAAGAAGGCAUUAGAUUCAAGGAUACAGGAACUGAUAAAUCACUUUGGCAAUGUUAUCUUCACCAUGGGGUUAACAUGAAGCUUUUUAUUCUCAUUGAAGCAUAUGUUCCAAUUACAAAUAGUCCUCAAUGUGGUCAACUACGUGAAUAUACUGCUAGACCAGAUGCAGUAUAUUUUCGAAAGGAUAGUUAUCCACGAAAAGCAUUAAAACCUUGGAAAUCAUUAGAAUAAUGAAUUUUUAUUUUGAUUAAUACUGUUUAUUAUUGUUUUUAUUCUAUUAUUUUUCUGCUUAUGACCUAAUUGAUUCAUCAAAUGUUUAUGAUUCAUUUAUAUGUCAUUUAAUUAUAUAAAUGUUUCAAAUAAUUAAUAACCCGUUGAUAUUUUUGUUUUUUUAAAGAUAUGACUCUACAUCUAUUUGUUUGAGUUACUUGUAAUCUUAUCAUCUUUUCUACAUAUAAAUGUAUAUUUUGAUUACACAAUACUA